GGGCUGGUGGGGGUCUGCUUAUAUAGUCCAGGAAGAGUAGCCCCCAAGAAAUCUAGGAAGAGUAGCUCCCAAGAAAUCUAGGAAGAGUAGCUCCCAAGGAAUUUCCACGUUAUUCUCCACCAUCCGAUCAAACAGACCUUAAUCGCAUGAUUUUCCUAGAUCCUUAGAGUCGGUGGAGCACGAUCCGCGAAGUUGACCCUGAUUGGGCACUGUAGCAGGGCGGGCGCCCAGGAGAGUAGGGCGGGCGCCCUGCCUCCGAGCCCGAUUGCCUUCCCGUUCGGUCCCGUGGCUUCUGGAGUCUUCUAGAUGAUAGAAAAUUGUGCGGCACGUUAAUAUCUCUAUGUAAACCCGACGUGUGGGCCUUUCUUCCAUAUUUCCUGAUAACCCCCUGCAGAAAUACACAAACACCAAAACUCGUGAAAUUCUGUCAAAUAAAACCCUAAGUCUAGGUGUUGGUUGCAUUUGGAUCCUUUUCCAUGAUUAAUUGAUGGUUAAUUGUGAGCAUUAAGGACCGUCAACAAGCUCCCCCAAGCUUAACCUUUGCUCGUCCCUGAGCAAAGAUGAACUCAAGAGUUUCUGCAGUGGUUUCAUGCCUUAAAGGUACAUGCGUUCGAACAAGAUCUCAUCUCUGGGUUAGGGUAAACUGUUAAGAUUUAAACUUACUCAUAUUACCUUCCACCAUGGGGCUUGUAACCGUCACUUGUGUCUUGAGCAGUUAAAAGAUAGAACGGUCUAGUCAAGCACCAUGUCUCUUGUUCUUCGAUUAACUAUAGCUCUGGAGUUUUUGCAGAUUUUCAAAUAAAACUCAGAGAUUCCUUAUAUGACUCUCUAGUCUCUCUUUUGUGGUAUUUCUGGAUCCUUACCAAGGCAGUAGUGGUAUAUGCCUUCUCUCAAAGUAUGUAGUAUUUUUGGUAUGGGGCAUAGUGGCAUUGCCUUCUCUCUCACCCUACUCUAAUAAGGUUUUGAUAUCUGGAGCUCAUAGGUGGGAGACAGCUAAUACAUACUUACAAAACAUUUAUUGCAUAGUCAAACCAUGGAUCCAGAAGAACAAGUCAAUAAGUCAAAUCAAGAUGUGCAUGUGUGGUGAAUGAAUGGGGUAUGGUGAUGAUGGUGAUAAUGGUGAAAGUCUAAUUCUACUUAUGCUCUUUUGAGGGGAUACAUACCUUUCUUGCUCUUUUGAAACUUUUUGAGGAGAAUGAGAUGCUCUAUAUUUUCUUUUUCUUUUCUCUCAGGUGGGUAUCUUGUACCCCUAAUUCUACUGUCGGACACUUGUCCAUUUUUACCUCUCGUCUUACUUUUUUUUUCUUUCGAGGUUCCGGGCACUUGCCCCUUUUUAUUUCCUCGUAUUCUUUUUUUUUUCUUUCUCUUUUUUUUAGAGCACUCAUCUCCUGAAAUAAUAUAGCAAGUGGUAGUAACCAAGAUAACUUGAGCAUUUAUUUCACAUAGGGAAAAACAUAAAUAGGAGAAUGUUUUUGGCUAUUCUCUCCCGGAUUAGGAGUAGAAUAUUUUUGGGUGGUUCUGGAGAUGGAAAUGGAUGGAUAUAUGUGGAUGGUACUUCUGGAGUAGAAGUAGCAUGUGUGAGUGAACGUGCAAGUGAAUCUUGAUUUAACCACAUUAUAAGCUCCUAAGGGUCUACACAGCUUGACCACACUCAAUGCUCAUAAGUAGUAAAGUAAAUGUGUGGUUCAUAGUCUAGCAAGCAUGUAUAUAUGGCUGUGGUAGGAAUUUAAACUCUCAUCAUACAGGAACUCAUCAUGCAACAUUUUAAAGAUUUUUAAAGAUAAAAUUAUCCAGAAUUGUAGCAUCUCUAGGAACAGAUAAACAGCAGCUCAACCUUCCCAUAUCGUAUCCGUUAACGACUUAGACUUUAGAUCAAGUACUCUCCCCGCAAGUUCAGGUUUAGAGCAAAUCUUAAUUAAUAACAGUCAUGCCUAAACUUAAGAGAGAUUUCAAUUUUUAGAACUAAUCAUGGCAGAGCAACUAUUCAUCAUUUCCAUGUGAGAGCUUAUCAUGAGGGUUCAUAGCAAAUUUUAUUUAUUUAUUUAUUUAGCAAGCUAAGCAAAGAUAUAUAUAUAAGCACAAAAUCUUUAUUUGGGUUUUUAUGAUUAUGCAUCUUUUUAUUAUUAGAGUAAAGUAUAAACGUGAGUAGAAUACUUAGCUGGAUAAAUGGGGUUGCUCUCCCCCAUCUGGGUUUUGACGUAAUUCCUUCUGAUGUAGCUAGCAGGUGGUGGAGGUGUAUUUGAAUGUCAGCAGCACCCUGACAGCGAUUAGGAUGUCCUCCGUCUUCUAGUCUUCUUUGAUCCUUGAAUUCUGUGGAGCUCAAAUAGACAACAAAGCUUUGUGGAACUGGUUAAGUGUUAGCAUAAAUAUCUAGCCUUUAUCAUGUUGAGCCUCCUCAAUAAAUGUUACUCUCUUUAGUAGGAUCAUAAAUUUAUUUUUAUAUUUUCAUUUUUAUAGGAUAGAAAUAUAUUUAUUUUAUUUUUACGCCACCACAGUGAAUGUACUUUUGGGUUUUAUGCCAUGAGCAUACUCACAUGGGGCUUACUAUUUUUAACAUUUUUAUUUUCUUUUUAAGAUGAUAUGAACCUGAUUAACUAAGCAACCUAUUUGAAAUAAUUGAAAGGAAAAGGAUAACUACCAAGUUUACAUCUUGGCAAGGCGUUCUGUGUUUUUAAGUCCUCCGAACGAGACUCUCCAUUUUCUCAGUUGUCCUGGGAUUCGCUGGAUGGCGUAGUCGGUGGUUCCGGCGGUGCUUCCUCUUCGUGUAUAACUAUCUUCUCUUUCCACACCUGACUCGGUGCUACGGUCUCCUCAGGACAGUUCUGUUCAAGUUGUAUGUCUCCAGACCUUACAACUUCUCCUUCAUAGUCUGCCCAUCCGUCCUUGAUGAUUUGCCUUCUCUGGUUGCGGUUGCGUUGUCUUCUUCUUGUCCUAACCUGCUUAGAGUCUUCAACUAUAUAGUUAAGGUCAGUAAAAUAGCAGCGUACCUUGUCAGAGGGGAAGUGCAUGUGGACUUCUCUGGUUCCAAUAUAGAUGAUUGCUUUAACGGUGCUGAGGAACGGUCUUCGAAGGAUGAUGGGUGGAUCGUACUCGUCUUCAACCUUUUGGAAUGUCUGAUCUGCCAUCUGGAGCUGAAUGUAUGUCGGUUUUAGGGGCAUGGUUCCAAAUAGGAGCUGAUAGGUGACUGCGGCCAUUGACAUCAGAUCCGAUGUCGUAGAGUGUCUUCUGAAAAGAAUAUCCGUUGAUUGUGCACUCGAUGCUUGGAACACCAGGGUCGUCCUUCUUGAACAAGAAAGGCGACUUGAGUUGACGAUCUUGACCUCCUUGAACUGCAGUGACCAUAUUUGCUGACUUGGUCCACAUUUGCUUGUUCCUGUUCCUCUUGUUGGUCCCCUUCAUUGGUUCAUGUCAGGAUUGCUCUGGGAUUUGUGUAGCCUUGUUUUUGAAGGAAAAUGUCUCCUUCCAUCCCUUGAUGUAGAAACUGAUCUUGGCAGCACUAGCGUAGAUGACAGCUCCUGAGGUGUUCAGGAAUGGCCUCCCUAGAAUGGGUGCCCUCUAAUCAGUACCAGUCUCUAUCACCACGAAGUCUGCUGGAGCGUAUAAGGUACCAACUCGGACGUAGAGGUUCUUCACUAUUCCCUUUGGGAAACUUAGUGUCUGAUCUGCAAGCUGCAAACACAUGGUUGUUUCUAGGAAAGGAUGUGUAAAGAAUUUUUCAUAGAGUACCCGGAGCAUAAUGUUGACGCUAGAGCCAAAGUUGCAGAGUGCUUCUAGGAAGUCCACCAUGCCGAUGGAGAUCGGGAUGACGGGACGUCCUGGAUUGUAUCUCUUGACCGGCAGAAGGUCAGUAAUUACUUCCACAAUGGGGUUACUCCAGUAGUUACAUCCUCAAGCAUCUCAGGGCAGUGCUUGCAUGAGUGUCCAGUAUCUCCAGCGUGUUUGUGCUCAUAGAUCUAGGUUCUUCACUUUGGUGGAGUCUGGGAGUUGUAAAACUCCUUCAUAUUUUGCUCAAAGUGUACCUACUCAUAGAGACAAUGCAGAGAUCAAGUGCAUGGGCCCUGUUGGUGGAAAACACUAACAGAACCAAAAGUGUAUUUGUUCUUCUCUAACCUCAAGCAUAGUGAGCAAGACAAAGUUGAUGGAUAAUAAAAUCAUGAGUGUAGUAUUUAACAUUUGUCAGAUUAGAUUGCUCAACCUUAUGGAAAGAUAAUCUAUCUAUACUUAUGUUUUUUUUUAUAUAUAUAUCUUCCAAAGAUUGAGUGUGCAACAUUUUAGCUCAUAUGAUUAGGAGUGUGGGAUCACAAAGGUGGAAGGACUAAACAUAUUGAAUCGAUUGGGUUGGUUAAUAUAGAGUUGUAAAUCUUACAUGUUUGUCUCUUUUACUCAUGUGAAUGCCAGAACAAAGAAGAAGCUUAUAGAAGUGAUAGUCAAGUACCUUAAGAUGUUACCUUACUUGAAGAGUGAUGGUACAGUAUCACCUUGUGGAAGCUUUCCUCUCUUAGCGGUUGUGCAUCGUGUUUGUGGCACCUCCAUGGAUCAUCUCUUGUGAGCUAUGCCUUCCUUGUGUAAAUUGUUAAACUUCAUGUGUGUCUCUCUUUGUCUCCAAUGUGAGUUUAUCUCAGGACUUCCCAGGUCGAUAUUGAAAGUUUUCCUGCAGAGGUUAGUCCAACAAAAUAUACCAAUGUCUACACAAGCAGUUUUUAGUUCAAUAACCAAACUAGACUCCAUGUCUAAUUAGAUUAAGGAAGGCUGUUUAACCUAAGCACCAUGCUUAAUUUAAAAACCAAUAGAAGUAUGUACAGUACUUCCAAACUAACACUUACUAGGAUAAACAAAGGUAGCGUGAUGGCUUUUAUAGAGAUCUGCUCAAGUGGAGAUGAAGUAGUGUGAUUACUAUUUAACAAAUUGAGCAUGUCUCAAAGGUAGGGACAACCAACAUAGCAACAUGGCAAAUGAUGUUUUUACAUAAAGUACUCUCCCAAGUUUGAAUUUUUGUAAAAUUCAAGUUUGGAUGAAUUUAAUUCAAUGUUGUAUGAUGAUUGGCUGGACAUACCUUGUGCUUGUCAUUCAUCCGAUCUUCUUGCUCCAAUCCUGGAAAGGUUAGUGACAAGAAUACUCGAAGGAAUAUUUUUACAAUUAUCCUUAUAUGCUCAAUACACAAGGUAGUGUUGCAAAUAAUUAAAAGCUCUUGUUAUGAUCUGAUCAGUGCUUAUUUUAGGACACUAAGCUUGUCCUUGGGAAACCAUCAAUUUAUGUCAGUGAAGUGGUUUCCCCUCCAACACUGACCUAUAUCAAGAUCAACUCAACGAGAUCUACAAAAUUUAUUAUAGACAUAUGCAUCGACAACCGCCCUUUUAAAGUUUUUAUAAAUAGAAAGGAAGUGGGGGUUGGAGAUCUCGAAUGUGAAGAUGUUGCAUAUGAGCAUGGAGUAAAUGAAGUGGCUAUGAAAUAAAUUCCAUGCUCAUUAAUGCUUAGAGUGAAAUCCAUGUGGUAUGGUGAAAAUGAUAAGGUGAGUGUGGUAAAAAAAAGAAAAGAAAAAGGAUACACGGACGACUUGGUUCAAAACUAGCAGAGCUACCAUUCCCCGGCAACGGCGCUAGAAAGCUUGUUGGGUACUUUAAACGCAAACAGAAAAAUCCGCAAGCGCACGGAUACCGAUGUAGCUUUCACCCGGGAGUAUUCUAGAGUAUCAAUUUUCCACAGAGAACGUGAAUGUACUAAUUAAGAAUCAAGAUCGCCCAAGGAUAACUAUAUAAUUAUUUUUGGUGGGAAGAGAGGAAGUUUCCUGAGAGUUCUCUAGUUGAUCUAAGAAUCAAGAAUUACUUCAAGAUUAUCUAUAUCGGGACAUCAGAGCACUAACCAUAGAAAGAGAUGAGAAGGGGGCUAGGAAGGUCUGACUCCGGUCCUACAAAUACCGAUCCGAAUGUGGUGGAAUACGUCGACCGUUAGGGCUGUCACUACCCUAAGGCUACCACAAGAAUCCGCAGGAUUGGGUGCAAUUCCAGGUAAUUGCAAGACUAAACACCACGUCUAAUCUAUUAAUUACUACUCUAGCGUUAUAAAGACUAGAGCACUUGAUGCAAGCGGGAAUCCAAUAAAUAACUUGAAUGUAAAUAAAAGUAAUUAAAGAACUCAGGAAUUAUGAAUUGAAGGACCUGGAGAACGAUGAAGGAUGAACCAGUUGCUGCAAAAGUACAAUGUUGAGGAAGAUCCGACAGACCCGGCUCCUCCUCCGCUCUCCUCUUCUCUCUCCCUAUUUUCUAGAUUACAACUAGAACUAACUAGAACUAGAACUAGAGGAACUAGAACUAGAACUAGAUGAACUAGAACUAGAUCUAGAUGAACUAGAGGUAGAACUAGAAGAACUAGAGGGAUCCUCUCUACUGGGAUGAAGAAUUGAAACCCUAGCUUUGAUUCUGUAGAAGAGGUAUUCCUCCAGGGGCUGGUGGGGGUCUGCUUAUAUAGUCCAGGAAGAGUAGGCCCCAAGAAAUCUAGGAAGAGUAGCUUCCAAGAAAUCUAGGAAGAGUAGCUCCCAUGGAAUUUCCACGUUAUUCUCCACCAUCCGAUCAAACCGACCUUAAUCGCAUGAUUUUCCUUGAUCCUUAGAGUCGGUGGAGCACGAUCCGCGAAGUUGACCCUGAUUGGGCACUGUAGCAGGGCGGGCGCCCAGGAGAGUAGGGCGGGCGCCCUGCCUCCGAGCCCGAUUGUCUUCCCGUUCGGUCCCGUGGCUUCUGGAGUCUUCUAGAUGAUAGAAAAUUGUGCGCCACGUUAAUAUCUCUAUGUAAACCCGACGUGUGGGCCUUUCUUCCAUAUUUCCUGAUAACCCCCUACAGAAAUACACAAACACCAAAACUCGUGGAAUUCUGUCAGAUAAAACCCUAAGUCUAGGUGUUGGUUGCAUUUGGAUCCUUUUCCAUGAUUAAUUGAUGGUUAAUUGUGAGCAUUAAGGACCGUCAACAGCGAGCAUGCUUUUCAGCCUUCCGUUGCAUCUCCUGAGCCUGGCGAACAGCCACCAUCACCUGUGCAUAGGUGUCCUCUCGCUGACUGAUCAGCUUGAGCACAGCCAUCAUAGUACUCAUAGCAGGACUAGAACUCUCAGCUCUCUCUCCCCUGCCUCGAACCAAAGCACAACCAUCAGCCUGUUUCCACUCUGCUGCUGCUGGGUCAGCACGGGGAAUGGAGGCCGCUGGUCCUCCCAUCAGCUCAUCGCAACACCUCUGACAGAUAUCGAGUAGGAUAGUUUGAGCUGCAACCUGAGCUGCCUCCCAAGGAGUCUGCCCAUCUGAGCUGCAAGUCCAUCCUGUCCAUGCAGGCUUGUCCGCAUGUGGAGGGACAACUCUCUGCACAGCAAACCACUGUAUCCCUCCUGUGCUCUCCAACUCCCACCAAGAAUACUGAGGUGGCUCAGCAUACCCAACAGUCUGCAACACUCUCCAAAGCAGGGUAGGAGUGCCAAACUCGCUCAAGAAAGUGUCACUAGGAUGGGGCGAAGCGGGUGCGUCCAUCUGCGGAAAGGAAUAGGAAUACCAGGAGUAAACAAGGAUUAGUUUAAGCAACAUUUAUUUAAUUAAAAAGGGACGACAUUGUAAGGGAAGGAGUAGACGGAAUGUAUGUAUGAAUGCGACAUGAUGCAUGCACGAACCGUACGUCCUCACAAACUUAGAAGAUUAAAGUUCUAACGGAUAUACGGUGGCAUACAAUCGUCUCUCGAUACGAUAAUUAUCGAUUUACACGCGCGCUGUUAGAGUACCUGCAGAAAACUUCAUUUCAGCCCAACAGUUCCCAAUAUAUCACUCAAGAAAGCAGUAAACUAAGUGCACAUUGCUUGGACAUGCCCGACAUGCACAAACAGUGACACCACAGCUACCCGAGAAAUUAAAUACUCCCCAAUUAAGUUUCUUUCGUGGUUCCAUGGUUUUAACAUGUAACCCCUCCAGAAAACCACCGCGAACACUCCCCUAGACCGCCGUUUGGACGAUCAUGCUCUCACAGCUCACACUUACCAGAGCGUAGGUGCGACGUUGCAUAAUUUAAAUCUAGCGACAUAUGUGGCUAAUUCACAUAUGAAGGCUACCUCCACCAUUAGACCACAGGGUACCAUAGUGCGGUCAUCACACAUCCAUACCUGAGUACUGUCGGAGAUGCAUAAAUAAAAACCCCCCAAGUCAGUACUUAAAUAGCCACCUAUAGUCCUUAUGUGGGCAAGGAAAAUUCGACCACUGACAUAACUUAAAUAUUUGAUUUAUACCAUUUUAUUUAAAAACUCUUUUGUUUUUAAAUACACAAACGCUGCAUUUAUAAUGCUGAACUUGCUCUGAUACCAGCUAUCACAGAACCGACCAAAUUAUAAGAGUUCAAGUGCAGAAACGAUCGAUAAACAAUCAAGUUUCCAAACUUGAGCCCAUAUAAUCCCGGUAGUCAAUUGAAAUCUCGAAGGACUUCAAACCAACUUGCAACAAACCAAGAUCGUAAUAAUUCAGCACAACACAGCGAAUGUUACAUAGUCAUUCAGUGCCGUCGAAGCGGCACCACAUCGGAGUCAUUAAGUUAUUACAACCCAAGUUCGAAGUAGCGGAAGCAAAAUAAUUACACACACUUGUCCAAAGUUCAGUUCAUAAGUUUUUGUUAUUGCCAGAGUCUACAUCAUCCUUCCAAAAGCAUAGAUACGAGGUUGUUAGAGGACCGUGCCCAACGGUUAGUCCUCAUCCCCAGCGGGAUGGAGACAGGUCUUGCACAAGCCGUCAUAGAAGAUGUCAUCUGCAACAGGUGGGAAUAAACCCUGAGUACGAGAAUGUACUCAGCUAGACUUACCUGUCUAGUAAACACAAAAGACACCAAGGAUCAUGCAAGGCAAAGAUUUGAAAGUAGAGCUGGUUGACUCGACAUUUUACCAAAAGCCUUUAUUAUGACUGACUCAUUGUGAGAGCAUCUUAUUUAUUUAUCAUCAGCCUACCACUUAGAUUAGCACCUGAACUAAAGCACUUCACUUGAUUAAUACAAGCAAUAAUAAUCAUAUCAAUUUCAUCAUAUGUUCUUCCUUGCUAUCAUUAUCAUCACGAACCAAGUUCAUUAGUGAAUGCUACGUUUGCCGCUGCUCUGUCAAGUUCUCACUGACCGGGAGAGACGGCGAUUCGAAUCGAAUUCCUAUCCAGCUGGAGGGUUAUUCCUAGCACUCACCCAAGCAUCCCCCGUCGGAGAGCCAACGGGUCACCUUUGGUACAACUCAGGAAUCGUGGCUCCGAUCAGCGCCGCACUCCCAGGGCUACCAUUCUGCCAGGGAGGUCAGGAAUUUUAACUCACCUGCCUUUGGGCUUACGCCAAUGGUCCCCCGCACACCGCACUUCCUCCGGUAGUGCGCACUUUAUACUUGCCGGUCUUCCGGCCUGAGUCAUACUACUCGGCUUCGCGGUCGGAACGAGUUAUCCGGCCAACUAAGUGUCAGGCAUGCGUUCAACAUGACAAGAGGACGUACAACGAUCGGUCCUUAGCUGGCACAGACGGAGUUACUACAAACUUGCAAAACUCCACCCAUCUUAAGUCAAUUUAAUCAGGUUCCAUCCACGAUAGCGUAUAUAGACCAUCGUGACCCGACACAACCCUAUAUCGCGCAGGUGACAGGAAAUCACCCGACUUCUACCGAUUAAGCAUGGCUAAGCUGCUACUCGAUCCUAACUCUAUAACCAGGUAGGGUAAAUUAUCUGGACAAGGAUGGAAUAAAGUGCAGCAAAAGUUUCAUCACAACUCCUAUACUUAAUGCAUCAAUAGAUAUAACAUAUCAGAUAAACUUUCAAAAGUAAAAGGGAGACUUAGAAUGCUCUGGGGCUUGCCUUUCACGAAGGAGGCUGGCUCGUGAUUCGGGCACUCAACUUCUUCUUCGAGCUCCUCGAGUCCGACUUGCUGGACCUCCACCUCUGGGUUGCACUCGUGGCCUUCGGUGUUCACUUGCAGCUCGUAGGAGGCUGUCGCGUCCGAUGCACCUAUUGCAUGCUCGAUGAAUAAGAAGGUGUACAUGCUAAAGAUGAAUGCUUGAUAACAUAAUGGACUCACGGAACACUCAUUUACGGAGUACACAGUUAUAACAAGUUCACACAAGUUAACCAGUUAACUUAGCCUAAAAUCUAUCAUGAUAGCCUAUAGCAACAAGCAUCAUAAAUAGGAUUAUCUCAAUAAACAGAUCAUAACUAGUGCUAGGCAGAUCCAACAAACAUGAGUGAAGACAUUCUGGAAAGCUUAUGAAAUUGUCUAUAAAUCAUCUUUGAACAUCACAGUAAGAUUCACAUAUUAAAUAAGUCAUUAAAACAAAGUUCCAGGUUCUGUCCCAGAAAAACAGAGAGCACCAAUUUCUAGAAUCUCAAUUGGAACAGCUAUAACUUUCAAACUACUAGGCCAAAUGACUCCAAAAUUAAACCACAGUUAGAUCAAUAAGUUUAUAACAACUUAGAUUUAGACAAGUUUCCCAGAAAACCAAGUUAUCAUUAAGCAAAAGUUAAAUUACUCCCUUGCUGUCCAGAACAGCUUUUAACCCUAGAAUUAAUUAUUUGAUGACAUGACCAAAGUACAAACAGUAACAACCACAAGACUUAUAAGUACAAACAUGUCAUAAGGUUACCAGAACACCACAUGAUAACCUCCAAAAGUUUAGUAACAAAGCAUUUAUUAAUUUAAUUCUAGAGAGGAGUAUAAUUACAAGAUACUAAUAAAAGUGCUCAGAAAAAUCUAUAAAAAUUACAGAGGCACAAAGAUAGCAUCAAAGCAUCACCAUAAAAUUUUUAGAGCAAUUGCACAUACCAAAAUAAAGAUAUGCAUUUAACAUGCAACAAGGGGUUUAUUUCAUAAAUUAGGAAACAUGACUUAUAUUGUGUCAAACAGCAGAUUUCAGAUUAUUUACAUAAUAUGAAUGCAAUAAGAAAGUUUAUCACCAAAGUAGAACGCCAGCAUAAGCACUAAUUAUUUUAUAUGAUUUAAUUAAGGAAACAAGUCAAACUUCAAACAUAAAUUACAUAACAAAGCUGAAUUACUCAAAAAAUCAUGAAAUAUUUAUCACAGCACUCUAGUACCACACAGAGACUACCAUAAAAUUUUCAUGGCAAACUAAGCAGUAUAACAAGAGAUAUGAAUUUAUCUAAGAAUAACAAGAUUAAAUCCUUAAUAAAUAUUUUCCUAGAAAACAUGGUUCAUUUUAUAUUUUUAUUAAAAACUAGCCAUCUCAUGGAAAGCCAAAAAUCCAGAUUUUGAAUAAAAGAAAAGGAGGGAAGGAGGCGACACUGACAGUGGACCCCGCCUGUCAGGUUCUUCUCCCUCACGGCCGAGGCGACUCUCGCCGGCGAUUUCUCCACGACGGCGAGGUCUCCGGCCAAACCAAGGGCACCAACGUGACCUCCAGACUCUAGCGACUCGAUUGACCCCCUUUUCCCCACGGCGGAGCCACCGGAAGGGGCUCGCCGUCGGCCAUGGCGGCUCGGCGGAGGCGCUCGGCGUUACGCCGGAGCCCUCAGGCCGGUAGAGCAUGACCUAAGGCCUUCUACAGCACCAGCGGACUACGGCGAAGCUUCCUAGGUACGUGGCUUAGCUUGAAACAUCGUGGAACACGCUGGCCACGAGAGCACCUAUCUCCGGCGGAAACACGGCGGCGCUGCGCACCGUGACCGGCGACGGAGAGUUCGGUAGAGCGUCCACCAAGUGGCGCAAACCCUAGCUAGAAACCUAAGCAACCUCUAGGACCUAACCAGAGAAGACGAGAGGCCCUGAGGAGCCCAGCAUUGAGCUCGCCGGAGAAAAUGGUCACGGCGACCCGAUUUGGGGGAAGAAGGGAAUGACGGCUCACCGGUGGGUUUCGCGGCGAGCAAGAGGGUGGAAAGUGAAGAGCGGCUCACGGCGGAGCUUUGGGUGAAGUUUGGUGGGCAAUGGUGUAGCAAGGAACGCGCACGAGCUCGCCGGAGUGAGCUCGCGACGGUGAGCUCGCUGCGGGCGCUCUUCUGGCGAGAGAGGGCGAGGAUGGCGAGAGUGGACACGUCCACUGCGUCCGGGGCGUCGCCGUGGACGUCAUGCACGCACUGGAAGCUGACGAGCGGGGCCAUCGCCGGCGUACGGGCGACAUCUGGCGGACAGGUGUCGAUCGGGACAUCCACGCCGGCGAGCUCAGCUCUGAAUCGAACCUCGCGAUCACCGACUGACAGAGCAACUUUGUCGACGAUUAGCUCCCAAACCAGAGCGAGUUAGGAGAUGGUGUAGUUGACAAAGUUGAAGUUCCAACUGAGUUCUACAACAUUAUCAACUAGAGCAAAAGCCAGAUUGGCCUGGAUUGAAAGAUAUAGAGUUUUCAAAAUCGAUCAAGCAAACUGGUUUCGUUCCAGGACUUAGAAAAAUUUUCAAGUAUUGGAAACAGCCCCAAUUCUGCCUUGUGGGUCACUUUUGAGCUAUUUGUGAUUAUUUUCAUGAGAUGGCCAUAAAACAACUUUUGUUCCUUAUAAAAUUUUCUACAAGUUUGCUAUAGAAAGUUUUGACAUGCAAACAUUUUAUGAAACAGUUUUUAAAAGCCUAAGGAAAAGAGGUUUUUAGGGCCUAUUUACACAAGUAUGACUUAAAGGCAUAUUUUGGAGAAGUGAUCAACAUGAACAUUGUUCCCAAGGUUAAGUUAAACAUAAAUAAACUAAUUACCAAGGCAUAGAGCAUAAACACAAGCAUGGUCCACUCAAACACAAGCCUAGUGAGCCUACUUAAGCAAUUUAAAACACAUUUUUGCAUAAAAUGACAUGGCUCAAGAUAGAUGAUGAUCAUGAGAUGCUUUGAGUAGAUGAUGAUGCUCAUGCUAUGCACAUGAUCAAUGCAACCAUAACACAGAGGUGUUACAUACAACAUAUGGCAACAACAAAUAAUGAUGAUGUAAUCAAAGCCAAUAAGAUUUGCACAUGACUCAAAGUUAACAAUAGCAAUGAUAUAUAACAUAGGCAUAAGGAUACGUAAGCAAAACAAACACCUCAGUAUCAAAAGGCAUGACUGAUAUACAAAUCCAUACCCAGCCUACAUGUGCAAGUGUUUCAUAUUAAAUCUUACUUUUUCCGAGAAUCUAAUGCCUGCUUUGAUACCAACUGUAACACCCCGGAAACCACAAAUACACCGGAAUGCUACUAAACUACACAAACAACAGCUGCACACAACUAACAAAUAAUUUGGCAGCAUCUCCUUUGUAUUUAUAGCAAGCGGAAGAAUAAAAUAUAAAAAUAACUGAAAUAUCAAACUAGGAUUAAUGAACAUCCUAACACAAAUGAGUUACUUCAACAGGAAUCAAGUUUAACAUCCACACUUUAAACAAUCGCCUUCAAAACCAACGAGCAAACCAAGUUAUUAUUUAUUAAAACACAUGGUCUCUAAAUGAAGAAGUGUGUGAUGUGCAAAUAAUUCCCUUUCCUUCCAAGCAAGCAUUAAGUACCUAGAUUGAGUAAAGCAAGGGUGAGAUGAAAUAUCUCAGCAUUGUUUUGACAAGCUAUUUAAACCACAAGUUCAAUUAACAUCAAUUUAAUAUGUUGUUCCAAGCUGACAUGAUAUCAAAUAAAAGUAACAGUCUUCCAAUUUGAAACAUAGCCAACAAUAGAGAGCUUCAUAGUAACAUAGAUAAGAUCCCUUCAAUAAUAUACUUCUCAUGAAUGCAUAUGAAUUCAAUGCAUAUGUCUCCUGCCUGCACACCCAACAAGGUGUGGAGCUGCAUCCCAUGAUGCUGUACCGGUACGGUCGUGACCAUAGGUCGACGACAUAACUUCCAAUGCAAAUGAAUGAUGCAAUGCACUUGGCAUGCUACAAUGAAAUUACAUACACCACCAAUGAUACUUCAACUUCAUCUCCACCGUUGUGGGCUAACCACAUAUAGCAAUAUGGAAUAAUAACAUCACCAUCAAUAAAUAAAUAAGACCACAAUUAAAUAUGAUUGAAUAAACCAAGGUCAGCAGUUUUGGAUAUUAGUGGUAUGAUAUUCUUACAAACAAUAAGUUGUAGGUGAUGAAAAUAACAAGCCAAAACGGUAGCAAACCACCACUACAUUCACUUGCCUCUUUACCGAAGGAGAACAAAAGCACUAGCGACGUUCUGAAGUGUUACCACCUGAUCACAAAUAAUACUCAGUACAUACACCAACAUACAAGCAAGAGUAAGAACAAAUACGCACUAAAGCGCCCCAAACCUGACAUUCAAGCCUCUACCGUUUGCGCUACCGAUCAAGACAGCAGCACCAACUCUUCUCAUUUUCAUAUACUUCAGAAUACUCAUCCAAAAAUUACCAUAAUUUAUUAGAUCAUGUAAAACUCUGUUAUAUACAACUUUUGUAAUGAAAGGUUUUGCAUUAGAGGUCUGCAAGAUGGUAUAAUUAACCAUAGAAUACAACAGAAUAUUUCUGACUUUCAAAGCAGAACAUCAAACUUCAAAAUUUCAUAACUAGAGAUAUACUUAUUCAAAAAUUACAAACUUUACCAAUAUAGAAAGCUUAACAAAAAUCCUAGAACUUUUGUGAAUAAUAAAAGACCUAAUUCUUUCUUUAACAGGGUCAAAAACUGCAUAGAUCUAAAACUGUCCAGAUUUUCGUCACUGGAAAACCCUCAAAACAGCGACCUAACAACCAAUUAAUAGCAGCAAUCCUACUUUACAUUUUUAGUGUGAAUAGAUUACAUGUUCAAAAAUUAUGAAAUUUUUAUAGAAGAUAUAAAACUCUAUUAUCUACAACUUUUAUAUAAAGCAGUCUGGCAUAUGAGAUCUUCAAGAUAGCAUAAACAAUCUCUGAACUUUUCUGACGACAAAAACAAGAUAGUAAGCUUCAAAAAUUCAUAAGUGCAGUUAUGCUUAUCCAAAAAUGAUGAUCUUUAUGAAUAUAGAAAACUUAACUAAUAUUGUACAACUUUCAUGUUAUAAGCUUUGGAUUUUAAGGACUGAAAGAUACUCAUAACGAGUCAAGAAUCCAACUACACUUUUUAGACAGCAGAACAACAACAGCUGACAAAAACGCACAUAACUGGAGCUAUAAUGGUCGACAAUAUAUGAUAUUUAAAAAUCUGGAAAGCUUAUGAAAUUACAAACAAGUUUUAUUUAGAUCAUACCAUGAGAUUAUGGACGUAUGAUAACAUAAAACUGAAUGUAUCUAACUGUGUCCUGAUUUCUGGCAGCACAAAUGCAUCAACAAACAACGACCAUAUCUCUUAGACCAUAAGGGCUACAAGAGUGAUCAUUACGCCAAAAGAAAGAUAUUGAAGUCUGCUGCUUGAAUAUAAUUUACCUACGAUUUUUAAAUAUAUAAACAUAGCCCAAAACAGCAUACAACUUACAAUUGCGCAAUCUGGAAAAAACAGCAGGGCCUAAUUUCGAGAUUAGAACCCUAACUCGUCAACUAAUCCAAGAGAAUUGCCAAACCCUAGCAUCGAUUUCCCACAAAAAACAAAAGGGAAAAGAAGGAUCUUACCCCAUGAUUUUAGAUGAGGAACGAAAACGGCAGCGAUCCGUAAUCCAUGGGUGAAACCCUAGUUUCUCCCACCUCCUCCCUUCUCUCCUUUCUUUUCUCUUCUCCCCACUCUUCCUUUCUUUUCCUUGAAUAUGAACAGCUAUGGAUGGCACCUAAAGGCCUUGGAAGGGGAUAUAAAAGGUCACCAUGGGCACUGUAGCGGUAUGGCACUGUAGCGUCGCGCUACCGUACAUGUUUCCUGUUUAUUUGUUUUUCUUAAAACUUCUAAAAUUUAUAUCUCCAUAACCCAGAUUCCAAACAAUGCAUAAGAGCAGUGCAACUGAAAGCAUUCAAUGAUCUCUACACAUUUAUGGUCUCUGAUUAUCCAUUCAAGCAACAUAAACAAAUUAUUUUUUUGCCACUCGCUAGAACUCCUAAUUAUGUAUUUACCAUUUUAAGCUUUCUGACAUACAAAACUGUUUUGGGGUAUUACAAUUAACUAGAACUAGAACUAGAUGAACUAGAACUAGAACUAGAUGAACUAGAGGGGUCCUCUCUACUUGGAUGAAGAAUUGAAACCCUAGUUUUGAUUUUGUAGAAGAGGUAUGCUCUCCAGGGGCCAGGGGGCCUUGCUGAUAUAGUCUUUUCAGAUGAAUCUGGGCCGUCGGAUCAAACCGACAUUAAUCGCACGGUUUUCCUUGAUCCCUAAAGUCGGUGGAGCACGAUCCGCGAGAAGGACUCUGAUUGGGCACUGUAGCUGGGUGGGCGCCCAGGAGAGUAGGGCGGGCGCCCUGCCUCCGAGCCCGAUUGCCUUCCCGUUCGUUCCCGUGGCUUCUGGAGUCUUCUAGAUGGUAGAACAUUGCAUGGCACGUUAAUAUCUCUAUGUAAACCCGACGUGUGGGCCUUUUUUCCGUAUUUCCUAAUAACCCCCUGCAGAAAUAGACAAACACCAAAACUCGUGGAAUUCUGUUAGAUAAAACCCUAAGUCUGGGUGUUAGUUGCAUAUAGGUCCUUUUCCAUAAUUAGUUGACGGUUAAAUGUAAGCAUUCAGGACCGUCAACAAGCUCCCCCAAGCUUAACCUUUGCUCGUCCCUGAGCAAAGAUGGACUCAAGAGUUUCUGCAGUGGUUUCUUGCCUUAAAGGUACACUUGCAUUCAAACAAGAUCUCAUCUCUGGGUUAGGGUAAACUGUUAAGACUUAAACUUACUCAUUUUACCUUCCACCAUGGGGCUUGCAACCGUCACUUACGUCUUGAGCAGUUAAAAGAUAGAAUGGUCUAGUCAAGCGCCACGUCUCUUGUUCUUCGAUUAACUAUAGCUCUGGAGUUUUUGCAGAUUUUCAAAUAAAACUCAUAGAUUCCUUGUAUGACUCUCUCUAGUCUCUCUUUUGUGGUAUUUCUGGAUCCUUACCAAGGCAGUAAUGGUGUAUGCCUUCUCUCAAAGUAUGUGGUAUUUUUGGUAUGAGGCAUAGUUGCAUUGCCUUCUCUCUCACCCUACUCUAAUAAGGUUUUGAUAUCUGGAGGUUAUAGGUGGGAGACAGCUAAUACAUACUUACAAGACAUUUAUUGCAUAGUCAAACCAUGGAUCCAAAGAAACAAGUCAAUAAGUCAAAUCAAGAUGUGCAUGUGUGGCGAAUGAAUGGUGUAUGGUGAUGAUGGUGAUAACAAUGGUGAAAGUCUAAUUCUACUUGUGCUCUUUUGAGGGGAUACAUACCUUUCUUGCUCUUUUAAAACUUUUUGAGGAGAAUGAGAUGCUCUAUAUUUUCUUUUUUUUCUCUCAGGUGGGUAUCUUGUACCCCUAAUUCUACUGUCGGACACUUGUCCAUUUUUACCUCUCGUCUCACUUUUUCUUUUCUUUUGAGGUUCCGGGCACUUGCCCCUUUUUAUUUCCUCGUAUCUUCUUCUUCUUUUUUUAGAGCACUCACCUCUUUAAAUAAUGUAGCAAGUGGUAGUAACCGAAAUAACUUGAGCAUUUAUUUCACAGGGGAAAAAUAGAAAUAUUUUUGGCUAUUCUCUCCCAGAUUAGGAGUAGAAUAUUUUUGGGUGGUUUCUAGAGAUGAAAAUGAGUGGAUGUAUGUGGAUGCGUACUUCCGGAGUAGAAGCAGCAUGUAUGUGCAAGUGAAUCUUGAUUUUAACCACAUGACAAGCUCCUAAGGGUCUACACAGCUUGACCACACGCAAUGCUCAUAAGCAGUAAAAAGUAAAUGUAUGAUUCAUAGUCUAAUAAGCAUGUAUAUAUGGCUGUGGUAGGAUUUUAAACUCUCAUCAUACAGGAACCCAUCAUGCAAAAGUUUAAAGAUUUUCAAAGAUAAAAUUCACCAGAAUUCUAGCAUCUCUAAGAAUAGAUAAACAGUAGCUCAACCUUCCCAUAUCAUAUUUGUUAAUGACUUAGACUUUAGAUCAAGUACUCUUCCCACAAGUUUAGGUUUAGAGCAAAUCUUAAUUAAUAACAGUCAUGCCUAAACUUGAGAGAGAUUUCAAUUUUGAGAAAUAGUCAUGGCAGAGCAACUAUUCAUCAUUUCCAUGUGAGAGCUUAUUAUCAGGAGGGUUCAUAGCAAACUUUAUUUAUUUAUUUCUUGAGCAAACUAAGAAAAGAUAUAUAUAUAUAAGCACAAAAUCUUUAUUUGGGUUUUUAUGAUUAUGCAUCUUUUUAUUAUUUGAGUAAAGUAUAAACGUGAGUAGAACACUUAGCUGGAUAAAUGGGGGUGCUCUCCCCCAAGCUGGAUUUUGACGUAAUUUCUCCUGUUGUAGCUAGCAGGUGGCGGAGGUGUAUUUGAAUGUCGGCAGCACCCUGACAGCGAUUAGGAUGUCCUCCGUCUGCUAGUCUUCUUUGAUCCUCGAAUUCUGUGGAGCUCAAAUAGACAACAAAGCUUUGUGGAACUAGUUAAGUGUUAGCAUAAAUAUCUAGCCUUUAUCAUGUUGAGCCUCCUCAAUAAAUGUUACACUCUUUAGUCGGAUAAUAAACUUAUUUUUAUAUUUUUUUAUAGGACAGGAAUAUAUUUAUUUUAUUUUUAUGCCACCACAGUGAAUGUACUUAUGGGUUUUAUGCCAUGAGCAUACUCACAUGGGGCUUACUAUUUUUAACAUUUUUAUUUUCUUUUCGAGAUGAUAUGAACCUGAUUAACUAAGCAAACUUUUUAAAAUAAUUGAAAGGAAAAGGAUAACUACCAAAUUUACCUCUUGGCAAGGUGUUCGGUGUUUUUAAGUCCUCCGAACAGGACUCUCCGUUUUCUCAGUCGUCCUGGGAUUCGCUGGAUGGCGUAUUCGGUGGUUCUGGCGGCGCCUGCUCUUCAUGUAUAACUAUCUUCUUUCUCCACACCUGACUCAGUGCUACGGUCUCCUCAGGAUAGUUCUGUUCAAGCUGUAUGUCUUCAGACCUUACUACUUCUCCUUCGUAGUCUGCUCAUCCGUCGUUGAUGAUUUUCCUCCUCUGGUUGCGGAUGCGUCGUCUUCUUCUUGUCCUAACCUGGUUAGAGUCUUCAACUAUAUAGUUAGGGUCAGUAAAAUAGCGGCGUACCUUCUUAGAGGGGAAAUGCAUGUGGACUUCUCCGGUUCCAAUGUAGAUGAUUGCUUUAACGGUGCUGAGGAAUGGUCUCCCAAGGAUGAUGGGUGGAUCAUACUCGUCUUCUCCCAUGUCAAUAACCUUCAACCUUUCGAAAUGUCUGAUCUGCCUUCUGGAGCUGGGUCAUCCUUUUUGGUCAGGAACGGUGACUUAAGUCGAUGGUCUUGACCUCCUUGAACUGCAGUGACCAUCUUAGCUGACUUGGUCCACAUUUGCUGUUCCUGUUCCUCCUAUUGGUCCUCUUCCUUGGUCCAUGUCGGGAUUGCUCUGGGAUUUGUGUUGUCUUGUUCUUGAAGGAAAAUGUCUCCUUCCUUCCCUUGAUGUAGAAACUGAUCUUGGCAGCACUAGCGUAGAUGAAAGCUCCUGAGGUGUUCAGGAAUAGCCUCCCUAGGAUGAUGGGUGCCCUCUCAUCGGUACCAGUCUCUAUUACCAAGAAGUCUGCUGGGGCGUACAAGGUACCAAUUCAGACACAGAGAUUCUUCAAUAUUCCCUUUGGGAAACUUAGCGUACGAUCUGCAGGGCUGCAAACACAUGGUUGUUUCUAGUAAAGGAGGUGUAAAGAAUUUUUCAUAGAGUAUCAUGGGCAUAAUGUUGACGCUGGAGCCAAAGUCGCAGAGUGCUUCUGGGAAGUCCACCAUGCUGAUGGAGAUCAGGAUGACGGGGCGUCCUGGAUCGCCUCUCUUGACCGGCAAAAGGUCAGUAAUUACUUCCACAAUGGGUUACUCAAGUAGUUCGUCCUCAAGCAUCUUAGGACACUGUCUGCCUGAGUGUCCAGUAUCUCUAGUGUGUUUGUACUCGUAGAUCUAGGUGCUUCACUUGGUGGAGUCUAGGAGUUGUAAAAGUCCUUCAUAGUUUGCUCAAAGUGUACCUGCUCAUAGAGACAAGGCAGAGAUCAAGUGCAUGGGUUCUGUUGGUGGAAAACACCAACAGAACCAAAAGUGUAUUUGCUCUUCUCUAACCUCAAGCACAGUGAGCAAGACAAAGUUGAUGGAUAAUAAGAUCAUGAGUGUAGCAUUUAAAACAUUUGUCAGAUCAGAUCACUCAACCUAAUGGAAAGAUAAUCUAUCUAUACUUAUGUUUAUAUAUAUAUAUAUAUAUCUUCCAAAGAUUGAGUGUGCAACAUUUUAGCUCAUAAGAUUAGGAGUGUGGGAUCACAAAGAUGGAAGGACUAAACAUGUUGAAUCGACUUGGUUAGUUAAUCUAGAGUUGUAAAUCAUACAUGUUUGUCUCUUUUACUCAUGUGAAUGCCAGAACCAAGAAGAAGCUUAUAAAAGUGAUAGUCAAGUACCUUAAGAUGUUACCUUACUUGAAGAGUGAUGGUACAGUAUCACCUUGUUGAAGCUUUCCUUUCUUAGCAGUUAUGCAUCGGGUUUGUGGCACCCUCCAUGGAUCAUCUCUUGUGAGCUAUGCCUUCCUUGUGUAAAUUGUUAAACUUCAUGUAUCUCUCUCUUUGUCUCCAAUGUGAGUUUAUCUCAUAACUUCCCAGGUCGAUAUUGAAAGUUUUCCUACAGGGGUUAGUCUAACAAAAUAUCCAAUAUCUACUAUAGCAUACUAUCGGCUCAAAAAUCAACCUAGACACAUUGUCUAAUUUGAUUUAGGAGGGUAUUUUAACCAAAGCAUCAUGCUUAAUUUAAACUCCCUUGGAAGUAAGAUCAUCAGCCCUAAACUAAGCACCAUGCUUAAUUAAGAGAUAAAAGAAACUACUCCAAACCUAGACAUAUACUAAAGCAAAUAAGGGUAGCAUGAGAGCAUUUAUAGAGAUCUACUCAAGUGGAGAUGAAGUAGUGUGAUUAGUAUUUAACAAAUUGAGCAUGUCUCAAAGGUAGGGACAACCAACAUAGCAACAUGGCAAAGGAUGCUUUUAUGUAAAGUACUCCCCUAAGCUUGAAUUUUGCAAAAUUCAAGUUUGGAUGAAUUUAAUUCAAUGUUGUAUGAUGAUUGGUUGGACAUACCUUGUGCUUGUCAUUCAUCCGCUCUUCUUGCUCCAAUCCUGGAAAGGUUAAUGACAAGAAUACCCGAAGGAAUUUUUUUACAAUUAUCCUUAUAUGCUCAAUACACAAGUUAAUGUUGCAAAUAAUUAAAAGCUCAUGUUACGAUCUGAUCAGUGCUUGUUUUAGGACACUAAGCUUGUCCUUGGGAAACCAUCAAUUUAUGUCGGCGAAGUGGUUUCCCCUCCAACGCUGACCUAUAUCAAGAUCAACUCAACGAGAUCUACAAUAUUUAUUAUAGACAUAUGUAUCGACAACUGCCCUUUUAAAGUUUUUAUAAAUAGAAAGGAUGAGGGGGUUGGAGAUCUCGAAUGUGGUGAUGUUGGAGAGACCAAUGGAUUGGGAAGAUGUUGCAUAUGAGCAUGGAGCAAAUGAAGUGGCUAUGAAAUAAAUUCCAUGCUCAUUAAUGCUUGGAGUGAAAUCCAUGUGGUGUGGUGAAAAUGGUAAGGUGAGUGUUGUAAAAAGAAAAGAAAAAGGGUACACGGACGACUUGGUUCGAAACUAGCACAACUACCGUUCCCCGGCAACGGCGCUAGAAAGCUUGUUGGGUAUUUUAAACGCAAAUAGAAAAAUCCGCAAGCACACGGAUACCGAUGUAGCUUUCACCCGGGAGUAUUCCAGAGUAUCAAUUUUCCACAGGGAAUGUGAGUGUACUAAUUAAGAUUCAAGAUCGCCCAAGGAUAACUAUAUAAUUAUUUUUGGUGGGAAGAGAGGAAGUUUCCUGAGAGUUCUCUAGUUGAUAUAAGAAUCAAGAAUUACUUCAAGAUUAUCUAUUUCGGGACAUCAGAACACUAACCAUAGAAAGAGAUGAGAAGGGGGCUAGGAAGCUCUGACUACGGUCCUACAAACACCGAUCCGAACGAGGUGGGAUACGUCGACCGUUAGGGCUGUCACUACCCUAGGGCUACCACAACAAUCCGCAGGAUUGGGUGCAAUUCCAGGUAAUUGCAAGACUAAACACCACGUCUAAUCUAUUAAUUACUACUCUAGCGUUAUAAAGACUAGAGCACUUGAUGCAAGCGGGAAUCCGAUAAAUAACUUGAAUGUAAAUAAAAGUAAUUAAAGAACUUAGGAAUUAUGAAUUGAAGAACUUGGAGAACGAUGAAGAACGAACCAGUUGCUGCAAAAGUAUAAUGUUGAGGAAGAUCCGACAGAUCCGGCUCCUCCUCCGCUCUCCUCUUCUCUCUCCCUAUUUUCCAGAUUACAACUAGAACUGGAGGAACUAGAACUAUGUGAACUAGAACUAGAUGAACUAGAACUAGAACUAGAUGAACUAGAGGGAUCCUCUCUACUUGGAUGAAGAAUUGAAACCCUAGCUUUGAUUCUGUAGAAGAGGUAUGCUCUCCAGCGGCUAGGGGGCCUUGCUUAUAUAGUCUUUUCAGAUGAAUCUGGGCCGUCGGAUCAAACCGACAUUAAUCGCACGGUUUUCCUUGAUCCCUAAGGUCGGUGGAGCACGAUCCGCGAAAAGAACUCUGAUUGGGCACUGUAGCUGGGCGGGCGCCCUGCCUCUGAGCCCGAUUGCCUUCCCGUUCGUUCCUGUGGCUUCUGGAGUCUUCUACAUGGUAGAAAAUUGCACGACACGUUAAUAUCUCUAUGUAAACCCGGCAUGUGGGCCUUUCUUCCGUAUUUCCUGAUAACCCCUGCAAAAAUAGACGAACACCAAAACUCGUGGAAUUCUAUCAGAUAAAACCCUAAGUCUUGGUGUUAGUUGCAUAUAGGUCCUUUUCCAUGAUUAGUUGACGGUUACAUGUAAGCAUUAUGGACCGUCAACACGAGCCAACUUUUGUCUAGAUUUUUAUUCCCUCGAUCGUAUCGGCGACCUUAGACUCGAAGUCCUAUCCUUUAAACAAAAAGAUAAUGAAACUUUGGGAAAAUCCUGGAAACGUUUUUAUAAUCUUUUAGAAUCUGGUCAAAACCUUAAUCUUGAAGACCCUAUUCUUUUAUUUCACUUUUUUCGAGCUCUUUAGAAAGAUCAUAAACAAAUGCUACAUACAAUGUCUAGAGGUUCUUUCUUUCGCAUCCCUACUGAUGACGCUAGAGCGAUCUAGAUAGAAUCCUAGAAGCUGAGAUGGAUAAUACCCUUCAUGAUGAAACCCACGAAGCCGAAGUAGACACUCUGCCAAAUUCUAGAUCUACUUUAGCUAUCCCAAGUUCUGAGCCACAAAAGGAAGAAAUUCCACCACCUGAUUUCAUGCUGGAUAUAGAAUAUGAUCUUUUUGUCGAUUUUCGAAACAUUUCAAACUACCAUUCUAUUGACAGACCCCAAAACGGCCAUUUUAGUAUUUGUUUGCCAACUGAACAUCAAUUGAGAGAGCUUAUCACAGUCAUGAGUAGCGAAUGGUUGGAGGAGUCAGAGCUUUCCUCUGAUGUGAUCCGUUUAACACACCUCCUAUAACUAUACGCUGUGCUUAUGAUUCUGAUCAAUUUGAUGCUCUCUAUAAUCCUGUUGUGGGGAUCAACAUCAUGUUUGAAUAUUUUGCACUUAAAUUAUUUAAAAAUUUGGUCUUAACCUCCACAACAAAGGUCAUAAAGGAAUCUUCGGGACGAUCAGUCCCCAGUCUUGGAAUUAUUAAUGUCCUACCCUUAUUGGUAGAAGGCUCCAUGGUUCAUUUGAAAUUCUAUAUCUUUGAUACAUGGGACUUCGACCUGUUGAUAGGACAACCUUUUAGAAGACUCCUUUAUGAAGGUCAUACUGGAAAGCUACACAUUUCUUUUGGAAAAACUUUUAAAUUUCCAAUAACGAUUUCACACUCCUUGAAUAAUAAGGCUGAGUCAUAUCUUUUGCCUGAUCCUAUGGAGGAAGUAAAGGCUGCAUCUCUAGAGCUUUUAGAUGAACCAGACUUAGAAGACGAAGCUCCUUUUUUCACAGAAGAAGAGGCCAAACCUUCUGAACCUGAACCCUUAGACGAGUUUGCAGAAACGCCUAGACCUCCCAUAGAGCUUAAAACUUUACCACCAGGUCUUAUCUAUGCCUUCCUAAACAAUAAUCCAGAGUUUCCUGUGAUCAUUAGUGAUAAACUCACUCAGGAGCAAACUAUGUGAUUGAUGACCAUUCUUGAGAAACAUCACUCAGUUUUCGGCUACUCACUCCAAGAUCUUACAGGAAUCAGUCCUAUGAUUUGUACCCAUCGUAUUCCAACAGAUCCAUCUGUUUCACCUUCUCGAGAGCCCCAACGUAGACUUAACAACGCAAUGAGAGAGGUAGUUAAAAAGGAAGUUAUAAAGUUGCUGCAUGCAGGGAUUAUAUAUCUUGUGCCGCAUAGUGAGUGGGUGAGCCCAGUUCAAGUGGUGCCUAAAAAGGGAGGCAUGACUGUCAUUAUGAAUGAAAAGAACGAGCUAAUUCCGCAAUGCACCGUCACAGGGUGGUGGAUGUGCAUAGACUAUAGAAAACUAAACAAAGCCAUGAGAAAGGAUCAUUUUCCUUUACCUUUCAUAGAUGAGAUGCUAGAGCGAUUAGCGAACCAUUCGUUCUUCGGUUUCUUAGAUGGAUAUUCAGGGUAUGACCAGAUCCCGUUCCAUCCCGAUGAUUAAAGCAAAACCACUUUUACAUGCCCAUACGGAACUUAUGCUUACCAUAGAAUGUCUUUUGGGUUAUGUAAUGCACCAGCUUCUUUUCAAAGAUGCAUGAUGUCUAUAUUUUCUGAUAUGAUUGAAGAGAUUAUGGAAGUUUUCAUUGAUGAUUUCUCUGUUUAUGGAAAAACUUUUGAUAGUUGUCUUGAAAACUUAGACAAGGUUUUGCAAAGAUGUGAAGAAAAGCACUUAGUCCUUAAUUGGGAAAAAUGUCAUUUUAUGGUUGUUGACGGUCCUUAAGUACCAAAUAUAAUCAUCAAAUAAAUAAAGAAAAGGAUCCAAAUGCAACCAACUCCCGUACUUAGAGUUUUAUGUGACAGAAUUCCACAAGUUUUGGUGUUUGUCUAUUUCUGCAGGGGGUUAUCAGGAAAUACGGAAGAAAGGCCCACACGUCGGGUUUACAUAGAGAUAGUAACGUGCCGUGCAAUUUUCUAUCAUCUAGAAGACUCCAGAAGCCAUGGGAACAAAGCGGAAGCCGAGAGGGCUCAGGGACAGGGCACCCGCCCAAGUCCUUAGGGCGCCCGCCUACCUAUUUCGGCCAAUCAUGCUCAAUCUCGCGGAUUAUGCUCCACCGACAUAAAGGAUCAAGAAUAACCUUUCAAUCAAUGUCGGUUUGAUCGGACGGCCCAGAUUCACUUGAGGGGACUAUAUAACCAGACCCCCUGGCCCCUUGAGGAGGCAACCCCUUGAUCAUUAUUCAUUAUUCAUAGACAGAGCAAAAGCUAGGGUUUGGAGAUGAGAGCUCUCCUCUCAUCUCUAAACUAGAGUAGAUCUAGAUACUAGCAAGAUGGAGAGCGAAGGAGGAUUAGAGGAGAGGCCGGCCUGUCGGUUCUUCCUCCAGUUGUACUUCUCCAUGAUCAGGCUCUAAUCAAGCUUGCUCAUGGGAUGACUCUGGUAAUCUACUUCUAAUUCAUUAUGCAAUUACUAAUCAUGUAUGUUCUGGUUCACAGCUCUUUUGAGUACUUCUAAUCUAUAGGACCCUAUAGGUUAGAGUUGUAGUAUAGGUGUAAGCGUGGUGCUUAGACCUAGAUUACUUGUGGAUAUCCCCUGUCUAGCUGGAUCGUGUGGUAGGCCCCGUAGGUGACAGUUACGUUGGUCCUCUGUAGUCCACCUCUCGUUAGCAGGACGGGUAGGGUUUAUCGGCCUAUGGAUAAGCAUCCUUUGUGGUGUAAUCUUAUCACGUGGUUCGUCCCAGACAUAGACAUACCCCUUUGAAGUAGAGAAACCAUAGUUAUCCUCUCUAUUCUGCUACCAUCGCCCAUAUACUAGAUUGCUCUACUCUCUAUUCCCAUAUUAUCACCCAUUGUUAUCUUACCUUUAAUAUUGUUCUUAUUCAAUUCUACCAUCUUUCCUAUUUACACUUACUUAUCUAUCUAGGUUAAGUUAGAGCGUAGAUCAGUUCCCCUGUUUCCCUGUGGAUACGAUAAAACCUUUAACCGGGUAAAAGGCUACAAUGGUAUCCGUGCGCUUGCAGAUUAUCUAUGUGCGUAUAAAUACUGUAGUACACUCUAGUACCAUGCUGGGGAUGACAACCUAGUAUUCAAGUGGUGUUAGCAAGUGUCAACAAGCAAUUUUUGGCGCCGUUGCUGGGGAAACGGUUGCUGAGUUGACUACGAACUAGCGUAAUCAUUUUCUAAAAAAAUAAAAUAAAUAAAUAAAUAAAUAAAUAUAUUUCCUUGUAUCAUUUGCCUCAUCUCUACUAUUCUUUCUUCUUAUCUAAUCCUUGAUCUCUGGUCUAUCAUGAAUUCAAACAUGUCAAUCUACGAAUUCCAUAGACCUACGGGCACACAUCUCGAACCACCAAAAUCUUCAAAGCCUAUCAUAGCAUCUAGUUUUGAAAUAGACCCCAAUACAUAGAAUUUGUCCAAAAACAACCUUUCUCAGGAGAAGGUGAGGAAAACCCAUACACACACCUAAGAGAGUUUUAUCAAGUCUGUGACCUCCUUCGCAUAGAAGGCAUGUCCGAUGAGACCCUUAAAUGGAAGCUCUUUCCAUUCUCUUUAACGGGAGAAGCUACACAUUGGUACAAACUCAAAGUAGGGAGUGUUCAUGGAGAUUGGAAGAAUUUAUAUAAUAGUUUUCUUUUAAAAUAUUUUCCAAUCUCCAAAGUGGCGGAACUUCGGCGUGAGAUUAUUUCUUUUAGACAACUGGAAGAAGAAUCUCUUGGCAAAUCAUGGGACCGUUUUAUUAACCUUACUCUCACUGGCCCAAAGCUUUCUAUUCCAGAAGAAGUUCUUCUAAUUCACUUUUUUGAGGGCCUUAGUAGGGAAAAUAAGCAAACCGUGAAUACAGCCUCUGGAGGAUCCUUCUAUCACCUACCUGCUAGUGAAGCUAGGGAUUUAAUUGAUUCAUUGAGUGGAAAGUUUCCUAGCAUUUAUAUCCCUGAGAAAGAGAAAGAACUAGUUCCUAGACAAGAAGAAGAAUUUUCGAUAGCCAGAUCACAACCACUUCCAUUCCAAACUUUAGCUAUGUUGACGGUCCUUAAUGCUCACAUUUAACCAUCAACUAAUCAUAGAAAAGGAUCCAAAUGCAACCAACACCUAGACUUAGGGUUUUAUAUGACAGAAUUCUACGAGUUUUGGUGUUAGUCUAUUUCUGCAGGGGGUUAUCAGGAAAUACGGAGGAAAGGCCCACACGUCGGGUUUACAUAGAGAUAUUAACGUGCCGCGCAAUUUUCUAUCAUCUAGAAGACUCCAGAAGCCACGGGACCGAAGCGGAGGCCGAGAGGACACAGGGACAGGGCGCCCGCCCACCUUUGCUGGGCGCCCGCCCUCAGCCAGAGUCCAAUCAGGACUCUCUUUCGGGAUAUUGCUCCACCGACCUAAAGGAUCAAGAAAAACCACACGAUCAAUGUCGGUUUGAUCCAACGGCCCAAAUUCACUUGAAGGGACUAUAAAACCAGACCCCCUGGCCCCUGGAGAUCAUACCUCUUCUACAGAAUCAAAGUUAGGGUUUCAAUUCUUCAUCCAAGUAGAGAGGAUCCCUCUAGUUCUUCUAGUUCUACCUCUAGUUCAUCUAGAUCUAGUUCUAGUUCAUCUAGUUCUAGUUCUAGUUCUAGUUUGUUCUAGUUGUAAUCUAGAAAAUAGGGAGAGAGAAGAGGAGAGCGGAGGAGGAGCCGGAUCUGUCGGAUCUUCCUCAACAUUGUACUUUUGCAGCAACUGGUUCGUUCUUCAUCGUUCUCCAGGUUCUUCAAUUCAUAACUCCUGAGUUCUCUAAUUACUUUUAUUUACAUUCAAGUUAUUUAUUGGAUUCCCGCUUGCAUCAAGUGCUCUAGUCUUUAUAACGCUAGAGUAGUAAUUAAUAGAUUAGACAUGGGGUUUAGUCUUGCGAUUACCUGGAAUUGCACCCAAUCCUACGGAUUGUUGUGGUAGCCCUAGGGUAGUGACAGCCCUAACGGUCGAUGUAUUCCACCACGUUCGGAACGGUGUUUGUAGGACCAUAAUCAGACCUUCCUAGCCCCCUUCUCAUCUCUUUCUGUGGUUAGUGCUCUGAUAUCCCGAUAUAGAUAAUCUUGAAGUAAUUCUUGAUUCUUAGAUCAACUAGAGAACUCUCAGGAAACUUCCUCUCUUCCCACCAAAAAUAAUUAUAUAGUUAUCCUUGGGCGAUUUUGGAUCUUAAUUAGUACACUCACGUUCUCUGUGGAAAAUCGAUACUCUGGAAUACUCCCGGGUGAAAGCUACAUCGGUAUCCGUGCGCUUGCGGAUUUUUCUGUUUGCGUUUAAAAUACCCAACAAGCUUUCUAGCGCCGUUGCCGGGGAACGGUAGCUGUGCUAUUUUCGAACCAAGUCGUCCGUGUAUCCUUUUUCUUUUCCUUUUUUACCACACUCACCUUAUCAUUUUCACCAUACCACAUGGAUUUCACUCGAAGCAUUAAUGAGCAUGGAAUUUAUUUCAUAGCCACUUCAUUUACUCCAUGCUCAUAUGCAACAUCUUCACAAUCCAUUGGUCUCUCCAACAUCACCACAUUCGAGAUCUCCAACCCCCUCUUCCUUUCUAUUCAUAAAAACUUUAAAAGGGCGGUUGUCGAUGCAUAUGUCUAUAAUAAAUUUUGCAGAUCUCGUUGAGUUGAUCUUGAUAUAGGUCAGCGUUGGAGGGGAAACCACUUCACUGACAUAAAUUGAUGGUUUCCCAAGGACAAGCUUAGUGUCCUAAAACAAGCACUGAUCAGAUUGUAACAUGAGCUUUUAAUUAUUUGCAACAUUGCCUUGUGUAUUGAGCAUAUAAAGAUAAUUGUAGAAAAAUUCCUUUGGGUAUUCUUGUCACUAACCUUUCCAAGAUUGGAGCAAGAAGAUCGGAUGAAUGACAAGCACAAGGUAUGUCCAACAAAUCAUCAUACAACAUUAAAUUAAAUUCAUCCCAACUUGAAUUUUGCAAAAUUCAAGCUUGGGGGAGUACUUUACAUAAAAACAUAAUUUGCCAUGUUGCUAUGUUGGUUGUCCCUACCUUUGAGACAUGCUCAAUUUGUUAAAUACUAAUCACACUACUUCAUCUCCACUUGAGUAGAUCUCUAUAAAUGCUCUCAUGCUACCUUUAUUUGCUUUAGUAUAUGUCUAGGUUUAGAGUAGUUUCAUUUAUCUCUUAAUUAAGCAUGGUGCUUAGUUUAGGAAUGAUGAUCUUACUUCCAAAGGAUUUCAAAUUAAGCAUGAUGCUAAGGUUAAAAUUCCCUCCUAAAUCAAAUUAGACAUGGUGUCUAGGUUGAUCUUUGAGCCGAUAGUAUGCUAUAGUAGAUAUUGGAUAUUUUGUUGGACUAACCCCUGCAGGAAAACUUUCAAUAUCGACCUGGGAAGUCCUGAGAUAAACUCACAUUGGAGACAAAGAGAGAGACACAUGAAGUUUAACAAUUUGCACGAGGAAGGCAUAGCUCACAAGAGAUGAUCCAUGGAGGGUGCCACAAACACGAUGCACAACCGCUAAGAGAGCAAAGCUUCCACAAGGUGAUACUAUAUCAUCACUCUUCAAGUAAGGUAAUAUCUUAAGGUACUUGACUUUCACUUUUAUAAGUUUCUCCUUGGUUCUAGCGUUCACAUGAAUAAAGAGACAAACAUGUAUGAUUUACAACUCUAGAUUAACCAACCCAAUAGAUUCAACAUGUUUAGUCCUUCCACCUUUGUGAUCUCACACUCCUAAUCUUAUGAACUAAAAUGUUGCACACUCAACCUUUGAAAGAUAUAUUUUAUAAAAAAAACAACAUAAAUAUAGAUAGAUUAUCUUUCCAUUAGGUUGAGCGAUUUGAUCUGACAAAUGUUUUAAAUGUUAUACUCAUGAUCUUAUUAUCCAUCAACUUUGUCUUGCUCACUAUGCUUAAGGUUAGAGAAGAACAAAUACACUUUUGGUUCUGUUGGUGUUUUCCACCAACAGGGCCCAUGCACUUGAUCUCUGCCUUGUCUCUAUGAGUAGGUACACUUCGAGCAAAAUAUGACGGAGUUUUACAACUCCCAGACUCCAUCAUGUGAAGAACCUACAUCUACGAGCACAAACACACUGGAGAUACUGGACACUCAGGCAAUCACUGCCCUGAGAUGCUUGAGGACGUAACUACUGGAGUAACCUCGUUGUGGAAGUAAUUACUGACCUUCUGCCGGUCAAGAGAGGCAAUGCAGGACGCACCGUCAUCCCGAUCUCCAUCGGCAUGCCUGCAGAUCAGACACUAAGUUUCCCAAAAAGAAUAUUGAAGAACCUCUGCGUCCGAGUUGGUACCUUGUACGCCCCAGCAGACUUCGUGGUGAUAGAGACUGGUACUGAUGAGAGGGCACCCAUCAUUCUAGGGAGGCCAUUCCUGAACACCUCAGGAGCUGUCAUCUACGCUAGUGCUGCCAAGAUCAGUUUCUACAUCAAUGGGAGGAAGGAGACGUUUUCCUUCAAGAACAAGACUACACAAAUCUCAAAGCAAUCGUGACAUGAACCAAGGAAAGGACCAACAGGAGGAACAAGAACAAGCAAAUUUGGACUGAGUCAGCUAAGAUGGUCACUGCAGCUCAAGGAGGUCAAGAUCGUCAACUCAAGUUGCCUUUCUUGAUCAAGAAGGAUGACCCUGGUGUUCCAAGCAUCGAGUGCAAAAUCAAUGGAUAUUUUUUUCAAAAGACACUCUACGACACCGGAUCUAACGUCAACAUAAUGGCCGCAGUCACUUAUCAGCUCCUGCAUGGAACCAUGUCCCUACAACCAACAUACAUUCAGCUCCAGAUGAUUUUAAGGUUAUUGACAUGGGAGAAGACAAGUACGAUCCAUCCAUCAUCCUUAGGAGACCGUUCCUCAGCACCGCUAAAGCAAUCAUCUACAUUGGAACCGGAGAAGUCCACAUGCACUUCCCUCUGAGAAGGUACGCCGCUAUUGUACUGGCCCUAACUAUAUAGUUGAAGACUCUAAGCAGGUCAGGACAAGAAGGAAACGACGCAACCGCAACCAGAGAAGGCAAAUCAUCAAGGACGGAUGGGCAGACUACGAAGGAGAAGUAGUAAGGUCUGAAGACAUACAGCUUGAACAGAAUUGUCCUGAGGAGACCGUAGCACCGAGUCAGGUGUGGAGAGAGAAGAUAGUUAUACAUGAAGAGCAGGCGCCGCCGGAACCACCGACUACGCCAUCCAGCGAAUCCCAGGACGACUGAGAAAACAGAGAGUCCCGUUCGGAGGACUUAAAAACACCAAACGCCUUGCCAAGAGGUAAACUUGGUAGUUAUCUUUUUCCUUUCAAUUAUUUAAAAUAGUUUGCUUAGUUAAUCAGGUUCAUGCUAUCUUGAAAAGAAAAUAAAAAUGUUAAAGAUAGUAAGCCCCAUGUGAGUAUGCUCAUGGCAUAAAACCCAUAAGUACAUUCACUGUGGUGGCAUAAAAAUAAAUAUAUAUUCCUAUCCUAUAAAAAUGGAAAUAUAAAAAUAAAUUUAUAAUCCUACUAAAGAGAGUAACAUUUAUUGAGGAGGCUCAACAUGAUAAAGGCUAGAUAUUUAUGCUAACACUUAACUAGUUCCACAAAGCUUUGUUGUCUAUUUGAGCUCCACAGAAUUCAAGGAUCAAAGAAGACUAGCAGACGGAGGACAUCCUAAUCACUGUCAGGGUGCUGCCACAUUCAAAUACACCUCCGCCACCUGCUAGCUACAUCAGAAGGAAUUACGUCAAAACCCAGCUUGGGGGAGAGCAACCCCAUUUAUCCAGCUAAGUGCUCUACUCAUGUUUAUACUUUACUUAAAUAAUAAAAAGAUACACAAUCAUAAAAACCCAAAUAAAUAUUUUGUGCUUAUAUAUAUCUUUGCUUAGUUUGCUAAAUAAAUAAAUAAAGUUUGCUAUGAACCAUCAUGAUAAGCUCUCACAUGGAAAUGAUAAAUAGUUGCUCUACCAUGACUUGUUCUAAAAAUUGAAAUCUCUCUCAAGUUUAGGCAUGACUGUUAUUAAUUAACAUUUUCUCUAAACCUAAACUUGUGGGAAGAGUACUUGAUGUGAAGUCUAAGUCGUUAACGGAUAUGAUAUGGGAAGGUUGAGCUGUUGUUUAUCUGUUCCUAGAGAUGCUAGAAUUCUGGAGAAUUUUAUCUUUGAAAAUCUUUAAAAUGUUGCAUGAUGAGUUCCUGUAAGAUGAGAGUUUAAAUUCCUACCACAGCCAUAUAUACAUGCUUGUUAGACUUUGAGCCACACAUUUACUUUUUACUGCUUAUGAGCAUUGAGUGUGGUCAAGCUGUGUUGACCUUUAGGAGCUUGUCAUGUGGUUAAAUCAAGAUUCACUUGCACGUUCACUCACACAUGCUACUUCUACUCCGGAAGUACCAUCCACAUAUAUCCACCCAUUUCCAUCUCGAGAAUCACCUAAAAAUAUUCUACUCCUAAUCCCGGAGAGAAUAGCCAAAAACAUUUCUAUUUUCCCCUGUGAAAUAAAUGCUCAAGUUAUCUUGUUACUACCACUUGCUACAUUAUCUCAUGAGAUGAGUGCUCUAAAAAAAAUAUAUAAUACGACGAAAUAAAAAGGGGCAAGUGCCCGGAACCUCAAAGAAAAGAAAAAGUGAGACGAGAGGUAAAAAUGGACAAGUGUCCGACAGUAGAAUUAGGGGUACAAGAUACCCACCUGAGAGAAAAGAAAAAGAAAAUAUAGAGCAUCUCAUUCUCGUCAAAAAGUUUCAAAAGAGCAAGAAAGGUAUGUGUCCCCUCAAAAGAGCAAAAGUAGAAUUAGACUUUCACCAUUGUUAUCACCAUACACCAUUCAUUCGCCACACAUGCACAUCUUGAUUGACUUAUUGACUUGUUCUUCUAGAUCCAUGGUUUGACUAUGCAAUAAAUGUCUUGUAAAUAUGUAUACUUUAUCUCCCACCUAUGAGCUCCAGAUAUCAAGCCUUAUUAGAGUAGGGUGAGAGAAAAGGCAUAUACCAUCACUGCCUUGGUGAGGACCCAAAAAUACCACAAAAGAGAGACUAGAGAGAGUCAUACAAGGAAUCUCUAAGUUUUAUUUGAAAAUCUACAAAAACUCCAGAGCUAUAGUUGAUCAAAGAACAAGAGACAUGGCGCUUGACCUGACUGUUCUAUCUUUUAACUGCUCAAGACACAAGUGACGGUUGCAAGCCCCAUGGUGGAAGGUAAUAUGAGUAAGUUUAAAUCUUAAAAGUUUACCUUAACCUAGAGAUGAGAUCUUGUUUGAACGCAUGUGUACCUUUAAGGCAUAAAACCACUGCAGAAACUCUUGAGUCCAUCCUUGCUCAAGGACGAGCAAGAGGUAAGCUUGGGGGAGUUGUUGACGGUCCUUAAGUACCAAAUAUAAUCAUCAAAUAAAUAAAGAAAAGGAUCCAAAUGCAACCAACACCCGGACUUAGGGUUUUAUUUGACAGAAUUCCACAAGUUUUUGUAUUUGUCUAUUUCUGCAGGGGGUUAUCAGGAAAUACGGAAGAAAUGCCCACACGUCGGGUUUACAUAGAGAUAAUAACGUGCCGUGCAAUUUUCUAUCAUCUUGAAGACUCCAGAAGCCACGGGAACAAAGCGGAAGCCGAGAGGGCUCAGACACAGGCCACCCGCCUAAGUCCUUAGGGCGCCCGCCUACCUAUCUCGGCCAAUCACGCUCAAUCUCACGGAUUAUGCUCCACCGACCUAAAGGAUCAAGAAUAACCUUUCAAUCAAUGUCGGUUUGAUCCGACGGCCCAGAUUCACUUGAGGGGACUAUAUAACCAGACCCCCUGGCCUCUGGAGGAGGCAACCCCUUGAUCAUUAUUCAUUAUUCAUAGACAGAGCAAAAGCUAGGGUUUGGAGAUGAGAGCUCUCCUCUCAUCUCUAAACUAGAGUAGAUCUAGAUAGUAGCAAGAUGGAGAGCGAAGGAGGAUUAGAGGAGAGGCCGGCCUGUCGGUUCUUCCUCCGGUUGUACUUCGCCAUGAUCAGGCUCUAAUCAAGCUUGCUCAUGGGAUGACUCUGGUAAUCUACUUCUAAUUCAUUAUGCAAUUACUAAUCAUGUAUGUUCUGGUUCACAGCUCUUUUGAGUACUUCUAAUCUAUAGGACCCUAUAGGUUAGAGAUGUAGUAUAGGUGUAAGCGUGGUGCUUAGACCUAAAUUACUUGUGGAUAUCCCCUGUCUAGCUGGAUCGUGUGGUAGGCCGCGUAGGUGAUAGUUACGUUGGUCCUCUGUAGUCCACCUCUCGUUAGCAGGACGGGUAGGGUUUAUCGGCCUAUGGAUAAGCAUCCUUUGUGGUGUAAUCUUAUCACGUGGUUCGUCCCAGACAUAGACAUACCCCUUUGAAGUAGAGAAACCAUAGUUAUCCUCUCUAUUCUGCUACCAUCACCCAUAUACUAGAACGCGCUACUCUCUAUUCUCAUAUUAUCACCCAUUGUUAUCUUACCUUUAAUAUUGUUCUUAUUCAAUUCAACCAUCUUUCCUAUUUACACUUAUCUAUCUAGGUUAAGUUAGAGCGUAGAUCAGUUCCCCCGUUUCCCUGUGGAUACGAUAAAACCUUUAACUGGGUAAGAGGCUACAACGGUAUCCGUGCGCUUGCGGAUUAUCUGUGUGCGUAUAAAUACCGUAGGACACUCUAGUACCAUGCUGGGGAUGACAACCUAGUAUUCAAAUCGUGUUAAACUGUCAACAAUGGUUAAGGAAGGAAUAGUGCUAGGACACCUAGUGUCUGAAAGAGGUAUUGAGGUAGACAAAGCUAAAAUUGAAGUAAUUGAACAACUACCUCCACCUGUGAAUAUAAAAGGAAUUCAAAGCUUUCUUGGCCAUGCUGGUUUUUAUCGCAGAUUCAUAAAAGAUUUUUCAUUCAUUGCUAGACCACUUACGCUUUUGCUAGCCAAGCAUGCUCCUUUCAAAUUUGAUGAUGCAUGCCUAACAUCUUUCAAUUUAUUAAAGAAUGCACUCAUCUCUGCACCAAUCAUUCAACCCUCUGAUUGGUCGUUUCCUUUUGAAAUUAUGUGUGAUGCUAGUAAUUAUGCUGUGGGGGCAGUUUUUAGACAAACUAAAGAUAAGAAGCAUCAUGCAAUUGAUUAUGCUAGUAAAACUUUGACAGGAGCUCAACUUAACUAUGCAACCACUAAAAAAGAGCUUCUGGCUGUUGUCUUUGCCAUUGAUAAAUUUAGAUCUUAUUUAGCAAGAGCUAAAAUAAUUGUUUACACUGAUCAUGUUGUACUAAAAUAUCUGCUCACUAAAAAAGAUGCUAAACCUCGCCUGAUUAGAUUGAUCUUAUUACUUCAAGAAUUUGACUUAGAAAUAAAAGAUAAAAAGGGAGUAGAAAAUUCUGUUGCUGAUCACCUGUCUAGAAUGUAUUUUAAGAAUCCACAGGAAACCCCCAUCAAUGAUUCACUCUGGGACGACAUGCUCUACGGGAUUAACAGGUCUGACCCCUGGUAUGCAGAUAUUGUUAAUUUUAUGGUUUCAGGGUAUGUACCACCAGGAGCAAACAAGAAGAAGCUUAUUCAAGAAAGUCGUUCACAUAUAUGGGAUGAGCCAUACCUCUUCCGAGUAUGCUCUGAUGGCUUACUCACGAGAUGUGUGACCACUGAGGAAGGAUGGAAGAACAUCGAUAGAUGUCAUUCAUCACCAUAUGGAGGUCAUUAUGGAGCAUUCCGUACACAUUCAAAGAUCUGGCAGUGUGGAUUCUACUGGCCUACAAUGUAUGAAGACACGAAGCAAUAUAUCAGAAGAUCUGGUCCAUGUCAAAGGCACGGAAACAUAAACACAAGAGAUGCCAUGCCACUCACCAACAACCUUCAGAUUGAGCUCUAUGAUGUCUGGGGAAUAGACUACAUGGGUCCAUUUCCCCCAUCAAAGAAGUGUGAGUUCAUCUUGGUGGCAGUCGACUAUGUCUCCAAGUGGGUAGAGGCAUUACCUUGCAAGCAUGCCGACAACAUCAGUUCAAAGAGGAUGUUUGAAGAAAUUAUAUUUCCAAGAUUUGGAGUUCCUAGAGUAGUGAUAAGUGAAGGAGGAGCACACUUCAUUGAUAAACGCUUCAAGCACUAUCUAUCAAAACAUGGAAUCCGUCACAACGUCGCUACCCCCUACCAUCCUCAGACAAGUGGCCAAGCAGAGACUUCCAACAAGCAAAUCAAGAAUAUUCUUCAGAAAACAGUCAAUGAGAUGGGAACAGCAUGGAAAGACAAGUUACCCGAUGCACUCUGGGCAUACCGGACAGCAUACAAGACUCCAAUUGGAAUGUCCCCAUACCAAUUGGUGUACGGGAAGACUUGCCACCUACUUGUUGAACUAGAAUUCAAAGCACACUGGGCCAUAAGGAGAUGGAAUAUGGAUCUAGAUGUCGCUGGAGAUCAUAGAAGAAUGCAACUAUCAGAAUUGGAAGAAUGGCGAGAGAAAGCAUAUCACAAUUCAAAGAUCUAUAAAGAAAGAGUCAAAAGGUGGCAUGACAAGAGGAUCAAGAAGGAGUUCGCAACCGGAGAUAAGGUAUUACUUUUUAAUUCCAGGGUGAAGCUUUUCGGGCAUGGAAAACUCUGGAGUAAAUGGGAAGGACCAUUCAAGGUAAUCAAUUCAUCGUCCCACAGAGCUAUCACACUUCAAAAUGACGAAGGUACGUUAUUUAAGGUAAAUGGUCAACGUCUUAAAUUAUUUUUAGAGCCCAAUAAAGAAUUAGAAGAGAUAGAGUGAUCCAUUUCUACCUUCCCAUAGAGAAUUAGAGCCCAACCUUUUUUAAUAUGACGUUUUUGGGCCACGUAUAUAUUUUUCGAAUAAGUUUUGCAUCUAGAAGCACGCUCGAGGAAGCGGGCCCACAGAGGGGCCAGACACAGGGCGGGCGCCCAGCCCCUAUCCCCUCUCAGUCCUGAUUUCCUCUGUCGCGAUAAACACACAUACAGAUGGAAACUUUCGCACGCACGGCGGCGGGAGUAGCCCAAGCAAACCCUAGAGGCACUUUUUGACCCCUAUAUAAACAGACCCCUGACGUCAGUUUUCAAACACCAAUUCAUACAAGCCUUCUCUCCUUCUUCAAUUAGAGCUUGCUUAGACCCUCGCUGCUCCAAUGGCCGAAGAGUUCCACGACGAUUGGGAAGUCGUUCCCUACGACCUCAACAAGAAGCCCAAGGAAGACCCCGACGCCUACGCUCUCGUCCCGGCCAACACAAAGCGACAGCUAGAAGCCAUGCCAUUACGCCAGCACAGCUCCACCCAAUCCUACCAUGCUCAACCAGUUCUCACCGCACCCCCAUAGCCCCUACUUCUCAAGGGACCGUCAGCCAAGAAGGAGGCCACUGUCAAGGUGCCAGCCGACACAAGGAUCCUGCCACCCAGACCCAAUGAGAGGGUUGUUGGAGUCAAGACCAACCGGAGCGGCGAGAUCAGCAGCAUCCGCUACACUACGGAGGAGGACAGGCCUUACUUUCAGGGGGUUAGAGCAUCCAAAGUCUGUUUCAUCCCUCCAAAGGAAGCUCCAAAGCACGCUCUCAAUGCUCUCGAGACACCUCCUAAGCGUCGCAAGACUAUAGUAGAUAUUGAUGAGGACAUUCGUAGGCUAGACAGGGUCAUCAUAGAGCUCCAGUCCUCGGUUAACUCUAUCACUAGGCAGCUCUCUAACCAGAACACUGUUAUACUAGGUCUUAGGCAUUAUCUUGCUAGUGCCAAUAAGAAGAUAAAGGAGUUAGAGCGCCGCUAAGCUAUCUAAAUUAGAUCUUGAGGCAAUGCAUCUUAGUUAUUUAUCUUUAAAUUCGGUUUAGAUCUAUUAUUAGCUUCAGUUCAUUACUAGUCAUUUGUAAUAAAUACCUCAAGAUUAAUAAAGAUUAUUAUUAUUAUUAUUAUUAUUAUUAUUAUUAUUAUUAUUAUUAUUAUUAUUAUUAUUAUUAUUAUUAUUAUGUCGUGUGUUUCUCUACUUUAUUAUGCAAGAAAACAGAAAACAAGUAUGGGGGAGAUCCCUCGACACGCCAAACGUACUUCGACUACACCACUCCACGAUUCAGGUACAUACUCUGCACACUUUACACAUACACAUAUAUCUUGGAUUAUGCAGAAUAUUGUCUCCGACAUGAUAAAUUAACAAGGUCAAAAUGUUUCUAAUCAUGAUUAAUCUCACUCUGUGAUAUUUACUGAAAACCUGCAAUUAUUAGAAAUCAUUUAAAAACCCUGUGUUACUUAAGUCAUUGUGGAAUGUGAGAUGGUAGAGUAUCAGUACCUUAUUCUUGAUAUCAUUGUUGCUUGGAAAAUUUAUUUCAAAAUCUUCAAAAAUUCUAGCUACCAUCCUCAGUGUUUUAUAUGCCUGCUAAACCUGAAAAUUAUAAUUAUGAUAAUUAUAAAAGCUACCUGCUCUGUAUUGAGUUUGCUCAAAACGAGUUAGACCCUUGUUGAGAGAUUUAUCAUACUCCUAAGAUCAAGACAUUUAUUCAGAAAGAUUCACUCUUCCUAAGUAUUAUUGCAUUAGAGGCAUGGGCUAUGCAAAAAUAUGAAUAUUUCAAGGAAAUAAAAAGGAGCAAGUGCUCGACAACCUCGCAGAAAAAAUGGACAAGUGUCCGGCAGUAGAAUUAGGGGUACCUCGGUAUCCACCUGAAAAAAAAAGAAGAGAGAAAAAAAGAGAGAGAAAGAAAAAAAUGAUAGCCCAUGGUCCCUCUAAUAAGCAAUAUGCUAGUAAGAGUUGACAAGUUUUUAAUUUCCAAAGUCUUUGAUCUAAGAGUAUGGCAUUCUUCUCCUCAGAUCCUGUUUUGAUCAGGCAAUAAAUGCAAGGUAAGAAUGCUUGAAAAUUUCUACAAAUUAAAACAGCCUCAGUGAGAUAUAUAAAAGAUAAAUGAGUGAUCUGAGAGAACCUAUGAGGAUAAAAGGUAUGCUAAUUUCUUUUUCAAAAACAUACAAAAACUCCAAGUAAUAGGAUUGAGAAGAAAGGAUCUCUACUCUUGACCAUAUAUUUCCCUGACUACGGUACACAGUGAAUUUUUACAACACCCUGCAGGUAUGAAGAGAAUGCUUUACAAUGUUUUAACCCAAGAUAUUUUUCUUAACCAUCCUUUUCUCGAGGACGAGUAAAAGCCUAAGUAUGGGGGUGUUUGUUGACGGUUCUUAAGUAUCAAUUUUGAUUAUCAAAUAAACAAGGGAAAGGGCCAAUAUACAAACAACACCUAGAAUGAGGGUUUGAUCUGACAGAAUUCCACGAGUUUUGUUGUUUAUCUGUUUAUGCAGGGGGUUAUCAGGAAAUAGGGAAGAAAGGCCCACAUGUUGGGAUUACAUAGAGAUAUUAACGUAUCGCACAAUUUUCUACCAUCUAGAAGACUCCAGAAGCCACGGGAACGAACGGGAAGGCGAUCGGGCCCGGGGCAGGGCGCCCGCUGUUGACACUAGCUAACACCACUUAGAUACUAGGUUGUCAUCCCUAGCAUGGCACCAGUGUGUACAAAGGUAUUUAUAAAUGUAAAGGCUCUCUAGAAAAUAAUCUAUUCUAUCCGCAAGCGCACAGAUAAAACACAUCAUUGUAGCAUUUCACCAGGAUAAGUAUUCCAGGUAUCGUUAUUUAUAAUUUUGCUCCAGGGAUCUAAGGAAGAUGAAAUUAAAUUAAGGGGCAAAAUCUAUCAAGGCAUAGACUAGAGAUAAACUUGCAAGAACAUGAUUACUAAUGAGAAACUCGUCACACAGUCACUUACUUUAGCAGGGGGUGAACCAUAAAGAUAAUGAUAAUAAAGUAUAAGUUCAUGGGUAGAUAACACAGAGAUUAGAAAAUAGACUACUCCUCAUAUAUGUAGGUGAUGUCGGAUUAGCUAGAGAAUGGAUUCUAAGUUAUCUACUAACUACUAAGUCAUAAUCUACUCUAGUUAUCUACAAGAUCAUAUAUAGCAUAAAAGACUCUUCAUUCAUGUAUAAGGAACAUUGAUAAAGUAAAUCAGAGCAUCGCAUGACUUACUCCACAAUACCGGUUCUGCCUGUCCUAUCAACGGAGGGUGGACUAUAUAAGAAUCAACGAAGCUGUCACUAUCGUGAACUACCACACGACCCGGCCAAUAGGAUACAUUUGCAGAUAAAUAACAUCUAAGCACCACGCUCACAUGUGAUCUAUCACCUAACUCCCUCGCGUCAAGAGCUAAGCGCUUUGCAAACUUAUACAUAAACUCAUUAUCAAUUAGAACUAUAUCAAAUAUAGAACUAGAACAAACUAAGAACAUAAUAAUUAGAGACAUAAUACAAUUAGAACAAAGAAUUAGAGAAAGAUAUGAAUAAUACCAAUCUUUAUUACAAAGAUCCGAAUCCAGAGCGUAGUGCUCUACUUCUCUAAUUGCUAUCUAAUCAAACCUCUAAACUUAAAGGAUUAGGGAGUAGCUAAUUCUAAUUCUGUGUGGGAGAGAAGCUCUAAACCCUAACUUUGAUGGCUACCUCUGAAUAAUGAUUUCUUCUCUUCUCUUCCCUCCAGGGGGGUUUUGUCCUUGGUUAUAUAGUCCCCUCAAGUGAACGUGAGCCAUUGGAUCAAACCGACAUAGAUUGUAUGGUUUAGAUUGAUCCUUUAGGUCGGUGGAGCGUAGUCCCGAAGCAGAGUCCUGAUUGGCCUCCAACCCUGGGCGGGCGCCCAAGGGGGGUGGGCGGCCGCCCUGCCCCCGAGCCCGAUCGUGCUCUCGUUCGUUCCCGUGGCUUCUGGACUCUUCUAGAUUGAGGAAAAUUGCGCGGCACGUAAUUAUCUCGUUGUAAACAUGACAUGUGGGCCUUCUCUCCAUAUUCUCUGAUAACCCCCUGUAGAAAUAGAUAAACACCAAAGCUUGUGGAAUUCUGUCAGAUCAAACCCUAAUUCUAGAUGUUUGUUUCAUAUUGAUCCUUUUUCAUGUUUAUUUGAUUAUUAAUUUUAGUACUUAUGGACCGUCAACAAACUCCCCCAAGCUUACCCUUUGCUCGUCCCUGAGCAAAUAGCUAAACUUAGACGAAUCGGAAGUUGCUUCGAUGUUUUCUUUCCUGACAGGCACACAUGCUUUUGCAUAAAAUUCUUCCAGAUUAGAGUGAAGUGUUAUGGAGUUUAAUACCUGCACUUAAAUCUUAAGUGAUUGAAAGACAAAAUAAUUAAGUCAAGCACUAUCCCUCCUGUCUAUACUUCACCUUUGUUCCAGAGUUUUUCAUAAGUUUUUAAAAUAAAACUCAGAGUUCCCAGCAAUGAUUCUCUCAAGUCUCUCUAUAUGUGUUAUUUGUAGAUCCUUACCAUAAUGUCACUUACCUAUAGCUAAUGGAAUAUUUAAGUGGAGCUCAUAGGAGUGAAAAACAGCUCAUACAUAUGUUGUCUAAUCGAGCUAUGGAUCCAAAGGAACUCAGCAUAUAAUUAAAUCAAGAUGUGCAUGUGUGGUGGAGUAAAUGAUAGUGAUGAUAAAAAUGUAUAAGUAAUAAUAAAACUUGGUUCUCAUUGCUCCUCAUAUUGUUAUUUCUCCUCCUCUUUGAUCUCUGCUUUGGGAGAACAUGGGCUAUCUUUUUUCUCUUUCUUUUUUUUUCAGGUGGGUAAUAGACACCCCUAAUUCUACUGUCGGACACUUGUCCACUUUUUUCCGCUCAAGUGGGCAUCUUUGUACCCCUAAUUCUACUUCGGACACUUGUCCAUUUUUACCUCUCGUCUCACUCUUUUUCUUUCUUUUUCGAGGUUCCGGGCACUUGCCCCUUUUUAUUUCCUCGCAUAUUUUUGCAUAACCCAUGCCUCUUCUGCAUUGAAUCUUUUUAGAGAGAGAGAAUAACAAUAUUUGGGACAGUGAGUGAUAAUAUUUUUAGCAAUUUUAAUGAUUGGUGAUGAAUGCUAUGGUAGAUGUGUGCAAGUGAAUAUCUUAAUUUAACCACAUGAAAAGCUCCUAAGGGUCAACACAGCUCGAUCAAACUCAAUGUAAAUAUAGUAAAAGAUGUUAUAGCAAGUAUGGCUGUGGUAGUUAGUUUUGUAUGCUAGGAACUCAUCAUGUGAUUUGUAAGUUUUCAAAAUAAAUCUCCAGAACUUAGUGUAGUAGGAACUAGAUAAACAGCAGCUCAACUUUAUAUCAUGCCUUUCUCUUACCUAGACUUUAGUUUUAUGCUUCCCAAAGAUAGUAGAUUCAGUUUUAAUAAUUCCUGGAAGAACUCUAAUAUAAAAGCUAGGUAAGCAAACAGAGCAACUGUUCAUUAUUUUCAUCAUGUAUUAUUUUUUUGGUCUUUUAUUUUUCUAGAGAUUAAACUUAGCAGGGAAAUAAAGCACACUCAUCUACACACUCUUUUUAUUUUGUUUUCAUGUUUAUAAAAUACAGUAAAUUAAAGUAAGAAAAUAUUUAUUGGGUUUUCUCAGUUUUUUCCUUUUAAGAUAAAAUACUAAAAUAGAAAAGAAUAAAUAAGAAGAGCAAAUAAAAAUUUACUUGAUAAAUUGGGGAGGAUCUCCCCCAAGCUGGAUGUUGCUGUCGGUCUUACCCGAUAUUCCAGAACCGCAUCAUAGUUGUGAUGUUGUCGUUCAUUGUUGUUGUAUCUUGUCUCAGCUCUUCUACUACAGUGGCAUGGUCCUGGUUCCAUUUUUGUUGCUCUUCCAGGAGUCUUCCAUGUUCUGCUUGCGUGUUCUGGAUGUUGAGGAGAGUGUUGUCGGUACGAGUGAAGAAAGCACCGGCCUCUUGAUAGUAAUCAUUCGUGAAGGCGUAGGAGGCAUCGGAGUAUCGUCCUGCAUCAAAUUGGGGCGGAGGUCUAGAUCCUGAAGCUCCAUAUGGAUCAGUGGAGUACCUGCCCGUAUGAAAAGGCGGGUUUGUCCACUGGUGAUCUUGGCUCUCCGGCCAUGUCUCCUCUGUUGGCUCUUGUGGUUGCGCAUGUCGAACCCAUGGGUCUCGAAGGACUCGGGGGUUGUAAUCGCAAUAAUGCAGGUGCGCUGCUUCUUCUGGUCCAGGGUCAGCUCCAUACCAGGUGCGUUCUCGAUGGGUGGUCAUCCUUUCAGAUGCCACUCGUUGUGGAGCUCUCUGGUUCACUGGUGUUGCUGCAAUCUCAAUCAAGAAAUUUUGGACAACGUAGAGGCCAAGGUUCGGGUUAGGUAACCGAAUCUUGCCUUUAUCAUCAUAUAGCAUAUAUAUUAUAUUUCCCUCUUUCUUUAACAUCCGAGCUUGUCUAAAUGUGUCAUAGCCAUGAUAAAUUCUUAACUCAUCUAUGAAAUCCAAUGACGAGUUUUCUAGUAAAUGAAGGUUAGAGGCUAGACGAGUGAUAAGUGAAUAACAUCCUAUUGGUCCCUGAAGACUAGGUAUACUAAGCCAAUGUGAAACUAAAAGUGUAACAGGUGAAGUAGGUACUUUAUUAAUAGCAGCAUAUAAAAGUUGUAAAUCUCCUACUAUUACUUUCCUAAUAUCAUCACGGUAGAAAAGAUUGUACCCAAGCCAUUUGUGGAACAUCCUAAGAGUGGGGUGUUCCAUGUCACCGGUUCGGGCUUGGCUAUAAAAAUUAUCUCUAGAUAUUUCUCUCCAAAACUAGUGUCUCUCAAAGUUAGGUAGGUCGGAGUCAAUGUUCAGGAUGUAUCUCGAAGAGAAACCAAGAUGGUCGCUCAGCUCUCUCCAAGACAACAUAAUCUCCUGUUUCAACAUCCGAAAAACAAUUCCCCCCUCAUAGUAUUGUAAAGUGCAAAGAAAUUCGAGGGUGAGAAGAUGAGAACCCAGCUCAGUUAUAUUCCAAAAAUUUGUCCAACCUAACAUCUAGAAAAUUAAGUAAAAUUCAGUGUCCAUACCUGUUUCUUGUAGUAAGAUUGGAUCAAUAGUAGGGGUGUGAAUGAAAUCUUUGUUCUUCAACUGCUGAUAGACUUCCUUCUCUCUUCGAGUCUUCAGUCCUAGGUCUCCUAUCUUGAGAAGGACCUUAACUUGCUGACCUGAUGAAGAUGAUGGAGUUUGUGUGGGUGUCGGGUCGACGCUCAUCUCUGAUGGCUAUGAGGAGUGUCGGGCUGAACUCCUUGUACCAAUGUUCUUGAGAGCCUUCACUGCAUUCUUCACCUUCUUAAACAUCCUGUAAACAAAAGUUAGCAAAAACACAAUGUUGAUAUUUGGGAACGCAAUAAGGAAUUGAUCCGCAAGCGCACGGAUAUCGGUGAGCAUUUCACCCGAGAGGUUUUCCAGAGUAUCAUAUUUAUAUUUUUACCACUGGGAGAAAGGGUGCAUCUGACUAACCAAAUCUAUUGCUACUAUCCCUUUAGGCACAAAGAAUGUCUUUCGAUGUGAGUGAUAAAUAGAGAAGACUGCAACCGUAGUCUCCUUCUAACCUUGGUAAGGAUGAUCUACUUUUCUAAUGGGGAGGCUAACGGAAUCUAGACACCACAAAGGAUGUUCAACCCGCACCUAUAAACCCUAUCCUUCCUGCUAACGAGAUGUGAUCUGCAAAGGUAACUCGGAAUUGUCACGUUCCUCACUCCUACCACGGUCCAGCUAGUCAGGGAAUAUCUAUGAGUACCCCAGCCUAAACACCACGUUUACGCCAGCAAUGAUUACUCUAAACUCUACGCGAAGAGAUUAAAGUAAACUCAUAAACCAGAAGAACAAUAAAACAAGAACUUACUAGAAUUUAGAAGUCGAAAUACUGAAGAAUCCUAGGAGCAAGCUUUGGGUUAGGAGAACUUGAUCCCGCAGCUACAAGCUUGGAGUAGACACCGAUAGGCCGGGCUUCCUCCAAUCUACACCUCCACUCUAUCUCUCUCAAUCUAGUAGAAACUAGAAGAUCUAUUUCUACCUUACAUUGGUUGCUAAGCCUAAAAAUAAAUAUUAAUUAGAGAAGAGGUUUUCCUUCGAGGGCACCCCUCAAUCUCAAUGAUAAUUUCUUCAUGUCUUCUCCAGGGGCCAGGGGGGUCUCCUUAUAUAGUCCUCCCCUUCUAUGCGUUUUUGGGUCGGUAGGCGAUGUGGUACUACGUUAUUCUGGAUCCAAUAGGUCGGUGGAACAUCUCGAGCGAAGAGAGUCCUGAAAGCUCUCCAACAGGGGGCGGGCGCCCAGGUCACCAGGGCGGGCGCCCUGGGCCUGGCCCCUUUCGGCCUCCGCUUCGGUCUCAUGGCUUCUGGAGUCUUCUAGAUGGUAGAAAAUUGCGCGGUGCGUUGAUAUCUCUAUGUAAUCCCGACAUGUGAGCCUUUCUUCCUUAUUUCCUGAUAACCCCCUGCAGAAAUAGACAAACACCAAAACUCGUGGAAUUCUGUCAGAUAAAACCCUAAGUCUAGAUGUUGAUUUUAUUUGGAUCCUUUUCUUUGUUUAUUUGAUAACUAAAUUUGAUACUUAAGGACCGUCAACACACAACUAGUGGAAAAUGUGAGAGAAAAUGUUAGUGGUCAGCUGUCCGGAAUGUCAGUAGUCCAGGGGUUAGUCGUUCAAGAUAAGUUUUCUAUUUUAGCAGAACCUCCCCCGAAACAACUUUUACUUCUGCUUAGACAACGGGAUCACUACUUGCUAAGUGAUAUUCACUCUCUAUCAACUUCUUUUCCAAUCUUCUCUUUCUCUCUACUCUCUCCUCUCUUCACUACAAGAGCUCUUUCUGGAAACUGAUACUUGUGUGGUUUUCUAGAGUGCUUGUGUGGAGAGGAUGGAGGUAGAAGGUGGCUAUUUAUAGGAGGAAGAGGGAGCAGGGCGGGCGCCCUUGGUAGGUGGGCGGGUGCCCACUUGUGAUGCCCAUCCUGGGUGUGCCUCCUCCACUUGCUUCCUUGCUUUGAUCUCACGCAGAAUAAUAUUGUGUGGUGGUGGUUGGACGAUGGAAAGAUGUCAGGUGAGUGGAAACAUAUUGGUGGAUGAAAUUAUGUGAUGGGAUGUAUGUGAGGUGAAGUGUAUGACAUGUGGGACCCAAGGAGUGUGGGUCAAGCUUCUAGAAGAUUAAUAUAAUUAAAUAUAAUGCAGAAAAAUCUAUGAGAAUUGAAAAUUAAAAUGAUAAUAGAAAAUAUUUUUGUGCCUCCAUAAUAAUUAAUAAAUAUGGGUUGUUACACACCAUGAAUAUUAUUUAUAUGGGGCUUUUGAUUAUUAUAAUAAUGCUAUGAAUAAAUGUGACUAAUGCAAGAUUUAAUUAUGCAAAAAUUUAAACAUGAGAAAAUUAAUAAUGUGGAUAAAUACCGAUUUACCUCCCGGUGAGGGUUUGGGAUUUUUAGGUCCCCCAAGCUGGACCUCCAAAUCUUUUAAUCUUCUGAGUUACCUUCCUCUGGAGAUGGUGUCUCCAGUGGUUCUUCAUGAAUUUCCUUCACUGUAAAGUCUCUCUCUAGUCUGGGUUUGAAUGUGAAGUGUUCUUCUUGUCUGUUUAUGUUGAACUUGAUUUCUCCUUUCCCGACAUCAAUGUGGGCAUUGGCAGUGCUCAGAAAUGGCCUUCCAAGGAUGAUGGACACUUUUGAGUCAGGACUCAUGUCCAGUACUAUGAAGUCUACUGGCACCAGGAAAUCUCUGAUCUUGACUGGAAUGUUCUCGGCGAUGCCCAACGGGUGUCGAACCGAUUGAUCCGCUAAUUGUAGGCACAUUGAUGUUGGUUCUAGGGUCGCAUGCUCAAGCUUUUUGUAGACUGAUGCUGGCAUCACACUGACACUUGCUCCGAGAUCACAAAGUGCAUUGUUGAAGUGUUGGUUUCCGAUCGAGCAAUCAAUAGUGGGGCAUCUUGGAUCUUCCUUCUUCUUUGGUGGUUUGUUGAGGAUGGCCGCACUACAUUCUUCUGUCAGCUUGAUAAUCUCAGUGGUGGGCAGUGGCCUCUUCUUGUUAAGAAUAUCUCUGAUGUACUUUGCAUAUGUAGGUACCUGUAUGGCAUCGAGCAGAGGUAUGUUGACAUAUAAUUUCUGAAUGACCUCUACAAACUUACCAAACUGCUCAUCCGACUGCAGUCCUCUGUUUCUUCUAGGAAAUGGCAAAUAGUUGGUGUCGUAAAAAUCUUUCCUCAUUUCUCCAGUUCUUGGUGGUUGCAGCAGAUCUUCUGCUUCAACUGGGCUUUCUUCUUCUAUCCCUGCUGGUUGCACUGGUGCUGAUGUUCUUUGUUUCUCUUUUGGGUAUGGUGGAUCUCUGGUGGCUUUGCCUCCACUAGUAGUUAUAUUCUUUACCUGCUCAAUGUUAGUAGCAACAGGCAGUACAGCAGCUAUCUUUAUUAAUUUAAGCUCUACCCUUUUAUUAAGAGUGUUUUGCUCAUCAAAGGCAGUUAGUAGAAAAUCCAUUUUAUUGUGUAUAUCUUUUAGAGAUGAUUCAUUUGUAUCUAGCCUUUGUUUAACUUCAUUAUUAAUUUUGGUUUGUUGAGCAAUUAUCUCUUUUAAUGAAAGUUGCUUGAAAGUAUUACCUGAAUUCAUACCUUUGCUAUUGGGUUGACUCGAAGUUGAUUGAUAUUUGUAUGCUGUCUCAAUGGCCCUUUGGUCUUCUUUGAACUUGGCCCUCUGGUCAAUCCAAUGGAGCAAAUUUUCCUUCUUAGUUGAUAAUGCAUUUACUUCUUCUGGUAUUUCUUCAGUUUGAUGACAUUGUUGAGCUUUAUCUUGGAACCAGCUUUGAUUUUCUGCUAUCUUAUCCAAAAGUAUCUCUGCUUUUCCAGUUGUAAGCUCCAAGAAUGAUCCUUUAGCAGAUGCAUCUAGGCACUCACGAGCCUUCUGGGUUAAUCCAUGGUAGAAGGUCUGUAUAAGUAACCAUGUGGCCAUUCCAUGGUGAGGACAAUCUGAUAUGUAUCCUUGAAAACGCUCCCAUGCUUCUGAAAUGGCUUCUGUCUUCUGCUGUUGAAAACUAACAAUAUUUCCUCUUAAGGCAGUUGUUUUGCCUAUAGGGAAAAACUUCGAUAGAAAGGCAUCUGACAAGUUCGUCCAGUUGUUGAUGUUAUCUUGAUGAGUGUAGAACCACUUCCUCGCUUUUCCUUCUAGUGAGAAUGGAAAAAGGCGAAGCAGUAUGACGUCUUUGUCAACUCCGUUGAUGUGGAUUGUGCUUCCAAUCUCUAAGAAAUUCUGCAAGUGUGCACUGGCAUCUUCAUGUGCCUUUCCACUGAAUUGUGUAGCUUGCACCAAAUUGGUGAGGCUUGACUUGAGCUCAAACUCGGGUAUUCCUUCUUCUACUGCAAAUCUUGGACCAGUUGGAAUGUUCUCAAGGCUUGGAGCAGAGAAUUCUUGUAGGGUCUUCUGUGCCAUAGCUUCAGCAAUUGGUAACUAGCUUCUUCUUCUCUUGAUUGCUUUGGUUCUGAUGAUGAAGAGUUGAAUGUACCCAAAGUCAAUCCUGAUAUACCCUGUAUAAAAAUGUAAACAUAGAAAAACAACAGGGUGAACCUACCAAAGCAGAGGUGCCUUGUUAUGAUUUCUCACUUAGUAGCUGUUUUUAUGUAAUUAUUUCUCUACAGUCUAGUUUAAAAUUUUAUAUGAAUAACCUUGAUUGAUUUUCUGGCUUUCCUUACCGUUCCUAAGUAUUACCCUUUUGUUCCCCUCUAUGACUUAUUCCUGAGACUCGUAUAAUAUCCCCGGCAACGGCGCCAGAAAUUGCUUGUUGACACUAUCUAACACCACUUAGAUACUAGGUUGUCAUCCAUAGCAUGGCGCCAGAGUGUACAAAGGUAUUUGUAAAUGUAAAGGCUCUCUAGAAAAUAAUCUAUUCUAUCCGCAAGCGCACAGAUAAAACACCUCAUUGUAGCAUUUCACCAGGAUAAGUAUUCCAGGUAUCGUUAUUUAUAAUUUUGCUCUAGGGAUCUAAGGAAGAUGAAAUUAAAUUAAGGGGCAAAAUCUAUCAAGGCAUAGACUAGAGAUAAACUUGCAAGAACAUGAUUACUAUUGAGAAACUCGUCACACAGUCACUUACUUUAGCAGGGGGUAAACCAUAAAGAUAAUGAUAAUAAAGUAUAAGUUCAUGGGUAGAUAACACAGCGAUUAGAAAAUAGACUACUCCUCAUAUAUGUAGGUGAUGUCGGAUUAGCUAGAGAAUGGAUUCUAAGUUAUCUACUAACUACUAAGUCAUAAUCUACUCUAGUUAUCUACAAGAUCAUAUAUAGCAUAAAAGACUCUUCAUUCAUGUAUAAGGAACAUUGAUAAAGUAAAUUAGAGCAUCGCAUGACUUACUCCACAAUACCGGUUCUGCCUGUCCUAUCAACGGAGGGUGGACUAUAUAAGAAUCAACGAAGCUGUCACUAUCGCGAACUACCACACGACCCAGCCAAUAGGAUACAUUUGCAGAUAAAUAACAUCUAAGCACCACGCUCACAUGUGAUCUAUCACCUAACUCCCUCGCGUCAAGAGCUAAGCGCUUUGCAAACUUAUACAUAAACUCAUUAUCAAUUAGGACUAUAUCAAAUAUAGAACUAGAACAAACUAAGAACAUAAUAAUUAGAGACAUAAUACAAUUAGAACAAAGAAUUAGAGAAAGAUAUGAAUAAUACCAAUCUUUAUUACCGAAGAUCCGAAUCCAGAGCGUAGUGCUCUACUUCUCUAAUUGCUAUCUAAUCAAACCUCUAAACUUGAAGGAUUAGGGAGUAGCUAAUUCUAAUUCUCUGUGGGAGAGAAGCUCUAAACCCUAACUUUGAUGGCUACCUCUGAAUAAUGAUUUCUUCUCUUCUCUUCCCUCCAAGGGGGGUUUUGGCCUUGGUUAUAUAGUCCCCUCAAGUGAACGUGAGCCAUUGGAUCAAACCGACAUAGAUUGUAUGGUUUAGAUUGAUCCUUUAGGUCGGUGGAGCGUAGUCCCGAAGCAGAGUCCUGAUUGGCCUCCAACCCUGGGCGGGCGCCCAAGGGGGGUGGGCGGCCGCCCUGCCCCCGAGUCCGAUCGUGCUCUCGUUCGUUCCCGUGGCUUCUGGACUCUUCUAGAUUGAGGAAAAUUGCGCGGCACGUAAUUAUCUCGUUGUAAACAUGACAUGUGGGCCUUCUCUCCAUAUUCUCUGAUAACCCCCUGCAGAAAUAGAUAAACACCAAAGCUCGUGGAAUUCUGUCAGAACAAACCCUAAUUCUAGAUGUUUGUUUCAUAUUGAUCCUUUUUCAUGUUUAUUUGAUUAUUAAUUUUAGUACUUAAGGACCAUCAACACCCGCCCUCCCCCCUAGGGCGCCCGCCCUAGUGUUUUGGCCAAUCGCGUUCAACUUCGUGGAUCAAGCUCCACCGACCUAAAGGAUCAAGGAUAACCGUUCAAUCAAUGUCGGUUUGAUCAGACGGCCCACGUUCACCUGAGGGUACUAUAUAAGCAAACCCCCUGGCCCCUGGAGGAGAACAAGUUCAUCAUAGAGUUGAGAGGUGCCCUCGAAGGAUAAACUUUCCUCUACAUAGACUUAGGGCUUAGCAUCCAAUGUGAGAGUAGACUAGAUCUACUAGAUUGAUAGAGAUAGAGUGGAGGUGUAGAUCGGAGGAAGCCCGGCCUGUCGGUGUCUACUCCAAGGUUGUACCUGCGGGAUCAAGUCUUCUAACCCGAGGCUUGCUCCUAGGAUUCUUCAGUAUUUCGACUUCUAAAUUCUAGUAAGUUCUUUGUUUUAUUGUUCUUUGCUUUAUGAGUUUACUUUGAUCUCUUCGCGUAGAGUUUAGAGUAAUCAUCUCUAGCGUAAACAUGGUGUUUGGGGCUAGGAUACUCAUAGAUAUCCCCUGACUAGCUAGACCGUGGUAGUAGCGAGGAACGUGACAUUUCCGAGUUACCUUUGAAGCCCAUAUCCCGUUAGUAGGAUCGAUAGGGUUUAUAGGUACGGGUUGAACAUCCUCUAUGGUUUCUAGAUUUCGUAAGCCUCCCUAACAGAACAGUAGAUCAUCCUUACCAAGGUUAGAACGAGAUUAAUAAUAGACCGGGUUAGUAGUAAGGUUAAUAGUAAUAGACUGGGUUAGUCACAUUCUUUAUACAUCACUCACAUCGAGUCACCUUCUUUGUAGCCUAAAGGUUAAUAGUAAUAGACCGGGUUAGUCAGAUGCACGCUUUCUCCUAGUGGUAAAAAUAUAAAUACGAUACUCUGGAUAACAUCCCGGGUGAAGUGUUCACCGAUAUUCGUGCGCUUGCGGAUUAAUUCUGAUUGCGUUACCAAAUAUCAACAGGUGACACCGUAUCAAGAGGUGCAGACGUCAAGGUCCACACCUGAAUCAAAUGAUGCACCUAAAGAAUGAACACAGUGAGAAGUCUUGUUCAGAAGUCUUAAAACAUUGAACCCUCGCCGAAAGGUAAAAUCGGUAGUUAUCCAUAUUUAUUCUUUCUGCAUUCCCCUUUCCCUUAAAUUAUUUACUUUUCUUAAAUGGCUUGUUAGUUAAUCAUGCUAUCUUGAAAGGAAAAUAAAAAUAUUAAAAAUAGUAAGCCCCAUGUGAGUAUGCUCGUGGCAUAAAACCCAUAAGUACAUUCAUUGUGGUGGCGUAAAAAUAAAAUAAAAAUAUUCCUGUCCUAUAAAAAUGAAAAUAUAAAAAUAAGAUUGUGAUCCUACUAAAGAGAGUAACAUUUAUUGAGGAGGCUCAACAUGAUAAAGGCUAGAUAUUUAUGCUAACACUUAACUAGUUUCACAAAGCUUUGUUGUCUAUUUGAGCUCCACAGAAUUCAAGGAUCAAGAAAACUAGCAGAGGACAUCCUAAUCGCUGUCAGGGUGCUACCGACAUUCAAAUACACCUCUGCCACCGGCUAGCUGCAUCAAAAGAAAUUACAUCAAAAUCCAGCUUGGGGAAGAGCACCUGCAUUUAUUCAGCUAAGUGUUUCUAUCUAUGUUUAUACUUAUACUUUGUUAAAAUAAUAAAAAGAUGUAUAAUCAUAAAAACCCAAAUAAAGAUUUUGUGCUUAUAUAUAUCUUUGCUUAGUUUGCUAAAUAAAUAAAUAAAUAAAGUUUGCUAUGAACCCUCAUGAUAAGCUCUCACAUGGAAACGAUGAAUAGUUGCUCUGCCAUGACUAGUUCUCAAAAUUGAAAUCUCUCUCAAGUUUAGGCAUGACUGUUAUGAAUUAAGAUUUGCUCUAAACUUGAACUUGUGUGAAGAGUACUUGAUCUAAAGUCUAAGUCGUUAAAGGAUACGAUAUGGGAAGGUUGAGCUGUUGUUUAUCUAUUCCUAGAGAUGCUAGAAUUCUGGAGAAUUUUAUCUUUAAUUUUUUUUAAAAUGUUGCAUGAUGAGUUUUUGUAUGAUGAGAGUUUAAAAUCCUACCACAGCCAUAUAUACAUGCUUAUUAGACUAUGAACCAUACAUUUACUUUUUACUGCUUUUGAGCAUUGAGUGUGGUCAAGCUGCGUAGACCCUUAGGAGCUUGUCAUACGGUUAAAAUCAAGAUUCACUUGCACGUUCACUCAUACAUGCUGCUUCUGUUCCAGAAGUACGCAUCCACAUACAUCCACUCAUUUUCAUCUCCAGAUUCACCUAAAAUUAUUCUACUCCUAUCCGGGAGAGAAUAGCCAAAAAUAUUAUUCCAUUCUUGUUUUUCCCUGUGAAAUAAAUGCUCGAGAUAUUUUGGUUACUACCACUUGCUACAUUAUUCUAGGAGGGUGAGUGCUCUAAAGAAAAGAGAAGAAAAAGGAAAAAUACGAGGAACUAAAAAUGGGCAAGUGCCCGGAACCUCGAAGAAAAUAAAAAGUGAGACGAGAGGUAAAAAUGGACAAGUGUCCAACAGUAGAAUUAGGGGUACAAGAUACCCACCUGAGAGAAAAGAAAAUAAAAUAUAGAGCAUCUCAUUACCCUCAAAAGCCUCAAGUGCAAGGAAGGUAUGUACCCUCUCAAAAGAGCAAAAGUAGAAUUAGACUUUCACCAUUAUUUUCACCAUUAUCACCAUUCAUUCGCCACACAUGCACAUCUUGAUUUGACUUAUUGACUUAUUCUUCUGGAUCCAUGGUUUGACUAUGCAAUAAAUGUCUUGUAAGUAUGUAUUAGCUGUCUCCCACCUAUGAGCUCCAGAUAUCAAAACCUUAUUAGAGUAGGGUGAGAGAGAAGGCAAUGUCACUAUGCCUCAUACCAAAAAUACCACAUACUUUGAGAGAAGGAAUACACCAUUACUGCCUUGGUAAGGAUCCAGAAAUACCACAAAAGAGAGACUAGAGAGAGUCAUACAAGGAAUCUUUGAGUUUUAUUUGAAAAUCUACAAAAAAAACUCUAGAGCUAUAGUUGAUCAAGAACAAGAGACAUGGCGCUUGACUUGACCGUUCUAUCCUUUAACUACUCAUGACACAAGUGACGGUUACAAGCCCCAUGGUGGAAGGAAAUAUGAGUAAGUUUAAAUCUUAACAGUUUACUCUAACCCAAAGAUGAGAUCUUGUUUGAACGCAUGUGUAUCUUUAAGGCAUGAAACCACUGCAGAAACUCUUGAGUCCAUCCUUGCUCAGGGACGAGCAAGAGGUAAGCUUGGGGGAGUUGUUGACGGUCCUUAAGUACCAAAUUUAAUCAUCAAAUAAAUAAAGAAAAGGAUCCAAAUGCAACCAACAUCUAGACUUAGGGUUUAUCUGACAGAAUUCCACGAGUUUUGGUAUUUGUCUAUUUCUGCAGGGGGUUAUCAGGAAACAUAGAGGACAGGCCCACAUGAUGCGACACAUUGUCCCGAUCUUCAUGAUGUAGGAAGAACACCGAUAACUAGCUAAAAAACAGCCGGAUAACUUGCUACAAGCAGCAAUAACUAGUGCAACCUGGCAAAUAAAACUCGAAGCCAACCACCGUCUUUAACCGGCAACCUGAAUCGAGGAUUCACCCAACCACACUCUCAAAGAACCAACCAACACAACCUAUAAUCAAUCAAGGAAUACCUUGAAGGGAGUAGGAGCACCAAUUGGGAGUGGAUGAAGCCGCCGCCUAUGUAAUCCCGUGAGGAAAUCACAAGAGCAAGGGGUAGAGAUCACUCUCUGAAUAUUUGCUAGCACACAGCUAAACAAAAGGGGUUCUGUAUUUCAAUUAUCAAAAGUCUGUGAUUACAAUGAGUCUUAGGGGGUAUUUAUACUAACAACAGCCUUGCUAGAUAGGUAUGAAAACGAAAUAGAGUUUCUAAGGGAAGGCAAUGUGAAAGGUCCCCUCGAAAUGGAUCCCCGAAGUGGCUUCGCGUGACUGUUGGCCUCCAGAGCAGUUUUUAAUAAACUGACUAUAACUUUUUAUUGGGAAGUCCAAAUGAUGAACAAUUUCUUGGGUGUGAAACUAGACUCAAAGGACUUUCCAGCAAUGUAUGCCAACCAGCACGAUACUUUGUAGAUUGGUACAGUUUUACUUGGCAAGUUGUACCAAUGUUCUAUCACGACAGACUGUUGACCUUCUGAGCAGUGUGUACUAAUUCUAGUCUGCAGGCAAUAUGGUGUAUCCAAACUGGUCGCCACUAGAUUUAUUGGAAAGUAGACUCAACAAGCUUUCCAACAAGUCUUCAUAGACCUUCAUAGCUUUUGUGACUAAACAGUUAUGAAGAUUUCUUUGCACUGGUCUGUUUUUGACUUCCACUGGUUCGUUUUUGACUUCUUCUGGAACUUGCACUGGUCCGUUCUUCCGGUCCGAUUUAUCCUACUCUUCUUCUAUAGACCUAAGUACAAUCAAGGUACAACACUUAGGUAGUAUAUAAUUCUUAUUAAUGUUAAAAUGAAUCUCACAAUGUAGCGCGUGGACCUCUUGUUGUAGCUUCUUUGCACGACUACGUGUAAUCGGUCCAUUGAUGACAUGGGCUGGUGUCGGCGUAGGUGAAACUUGAGCGGAUGUAGCUUGACUUGGAGCUUGUGACAUCUUGCUUGGUGGCGUGGUCAUAUCAUCCUCCUCCCCCCCUUGAAAAGGAGUCGUCCUCGACUCUGAAGUGUCUUCACUUGUGAAUGGUGAGAGAUCAGCAAUAUUGAAGGAGUUGCUCAUGCCAUAACUUGUAAGAAGAUCAAUCUUGUAUGCAUUGUAAUUGAUCUUCUCAAGAACACGAAAUGGACCAUCUCCUCAUGGCAACAAUUUUGAUUUGCGCUGCUAAGGAAAGAGAUCCUUGCGCAAGUGUAUCCACAUCAAGUUCCUGGGUUCAAAUAACACCUUCUUCCUAUGUUUGUUCAUACUUGCAGCCUUGCGUCCUGCCUUGAGUUCAAUUGCUUCCUUGGUCUUCUCGUGUACCUUCUUGAUGUAUGCAGCCCACUUGGAGGGUUCCAUAUUGGUUCUUUCCUGCAAUGGAAGGGGCAACAAAUCUAUUGGAGCAAUAGGUUUGAACCCAUAUACAAUUUUGAAAGGACACAUAUUAGUGUUAGAGUGUACUUCCCUGUUAUAUGCAAACUCCACAUGUGGCAAGCAUUCCUCCCAAACCUUCAGGUUCUUUUUCACCAUUGUUCGCAACAACAUUGACAAUGUGUGAUUCACUUUCUUAUAUUUCACAAUGUAUGAAAAUGUUUCGAUGAAAUCAACCCAUUUAGCAUGACGACGGUUCAGUUUUGCUUGUCCUUUCAAGUAUUUCAAAGUUUUAUGAUCAGAGUGAAUAACAAAUUCUUUUGGCCAUAAGUAGUGCUACCAUGUUUCAAGCACACGUACGAAAGCAUAUAAUUUUUUAUCAUACACAAAAUAAUUCAAUUGAGCACCUCCUAGUUUUUCACUAAAAUAUGCUAUAGGUUUUCCUUGUUGCAUAAAAACUCCUCCUAUGCCAAUUCUGCUAGCAUCCCAUUCAACUUCAAAAGUUUUAGUGAAAUCAGGAAGAACAAGUAAUGGUGCUUCAGUUAAACGUUUCUUUAGUUCUUGAAAAGCAUUUUCUAGUGAUUUUCCCCAUUUAAAGUCAACACCUUUCUUUUUCAAUUCAUUCAAAGGAGCAGUGAUGGUACUGAAAUCUCUCACAAACCUCCUAUAAAAACCAAGAAGGCCAUGAAAACUUCUUACUUGACUUACAUUCGUUGGAGUUGGCGAAUCCUUGAUGGCUUUCACCUUGCUUUCAUCCACUUCUAUGCCUUUUCCUGAAACAACAAAGCCAAGAAACACAACAUGGUUUGUGUAAAAACUGCACUUCUCAAGAUUAGCAAAUAAUUUCUCCUUUCUAAGCUCUUCCAAGACUUGUCGAAUAUGAUUCACAUAUUCCUCAAAAGACUUGUUGUAAAUUAAGAUAUUAUCAAAGUAAACAACAACAAAUUUGCCAAUGAAUGCUCGCAAGACAUGGUUCAUUAAUCUCAUGAAGGUACUAGGUACAUUAGUCAAACCAAAAGGCAUAACUAACCAUUCAUACAGCCCAAAUGUUGUUUUAAAUGCAGUUUUCCAUUCAUCCUCUGUUUUCAUUCUUAUCUGAUGGUAUCCACUUCGCAAAUCAAUUUUAUAAAUUAUGGUGGAACCACUCAACUCAUUGUUGACGGUCCUUAAUGCUCACAUUUAAACGUCAACUAAUCAUGGAAAAGGACCUAUAUGCAACCAACACCUAGACUUAGGGUUUUAUCUGACAUAAUUCCACGAGUUUUGGUGUUUGUCUAUUUCUGCAGGGGGUUAUCAGGAAAUAUGGAAGAAAGGCCCACACGUCUGGUUUACAUCGAGAUAUUAACGUGCCGCGCAAUUUUCUAUCAUCCAGAAGACUCCAGAAGCCACGGGAACAAACGGGAAGCCGAGAGGGCUCAGGGACAGGGCACCCGCCCUACUCCCUAGGGCGCCCUGUAAUAACUGAUUUUAAGGACAAAACCAGAUAUACACCAUAUGUGAGUUUUAGAAGACAAAUCUCACAUAUAGCUACAAAUAAGGGGUAAUAUCAAAAGACAAUGUAUAAAUAUAUAACGUACUUAGUAUAAAAGAGAUAACCUUUGAUAGCAAACAGCGGAUAGGCAACUCUAAACUUCGAGUAUUAACUCCACUCUACAGGAUCCAACUGACUGGUUGAUCACAAGCCUAAACUUCUCCUGAGGUUUGGGGGAAAUAGCAAGAGUGAGUCCCUGUCGAACUCCACAAGUAUAGCAACUAGAUUGUAUAGAUCCCACAAUUUUAUGACCAAUGUGACAUAAAUAAUGUAAAGUAUUAAACAAUAAACAAUGAGCAUUUUUAACAAACAAGAUUCAUCACCCUUAAUGUAGAUGUCCCUAAGGCCGCUCCUGACCGUGAGCUCGGCUAGUAUACUAGUUUUAACACUCUGCAGAGGUUGUACAUCUUUACCCAUGAGUCAUGAUUUACCCUUUCGCCCGAGGUGAUCAGCCUCUUAACCCACUUCCAAGGAAGGUCGACAGGGAUCACUAUGAAGCCUUUCAAAAGUUCGUCUAACAUGUUAGGGCCGCAUGGUUUCCUUUGCGAGUAGAUAUAGAUAACCUCUUCCGAAUGGCACAAUGACGCGCAGCCUAUACACAUGGGGACAGGGGCUCGCACUAUACCCGUGUCGGUUCAGCCCCUCUAGCGCCCUUUCGGGUAACCGCUAACAAGCUAGAAAAGGUCUUCAUACUGAGCUAAACCUAAAGCCAUUAUAGCCCUCAUGGUUGCACUGUUGUCCCGGGUGAUCACGUAGAGAUAAAUCCUCAAGUUGCUAAAAAGUCAUUUUUAUCGUCUAUUACUUAACAUUAAUCUAGUCACAGGAUCAUGGUCACAGAAAUAAAAUCCAAAUGCUAUACUUGUCUUAAUCCAAAUGCUCUUGUUGAUUCUGCAAGUCUUACUAGUUGCCAAAGCUCUGAUCUUGAUCACCAAAAACUGCUCACCGACUAAACUCGAUCAUCGAAUAGCAAUACACAAGCAAUCGGGGCCAAACAUACACGAAGUAAACAAUAGAACUAAAUUAGAACAAACACCAAACAAUAGCAAAAUAGUAAGAAAAGUUUAUAAAAUGGUUUUACGCGUCACUACGAUCAUACAGACGCGAGAAGCACUCUAAUUGGAGCUACGACGAAAGAGAAAUGACUAUUAUAAAAUUUACUUUCGAGAAAAAGAAAACUACACGCUUCGUUGAUUUCAAUAGUUAUAUAAAAUAUCUAUAAGAUACUUUAGAGAAAUACCUAGAUUGAAUUAAAUUAAAUUAUAUUUGAAUUAGAAAAUCAAGUUAAAACUAAUAAUAUUUUAUUUAUAAAUGUGGUCGUAUAAAUUAAGCAAAUUAAUCUCUAAUUUUAUAAAAAGAAGUAACGUGUGGAAAUCUAUUGGAAUUAUAUAUGUACGAUCAUGUUCAAGCUAAGUAGUUAAGAUUGAGAAACAUAAUUAUGUUAGUAAUUAAUUAUAUUAAUGAUUACCAAAGUUUGACACCUAUAGUGCUUUUAGUUAUAAAACUAUAGUUGUAUGCAUAUUAAUCAAAUUAAUAUCGAAAUUAUAAGUUCUCAAGCACGUGACAUGUUAAGGAUGCUAGCUCGUACACGAUCACAAAUUAAAUCGGAGCUAAUACUACUAAGAAACAGAAUUACGAAGACACAGAGUGUUCCUCACCGGGCAAAGAUAGAAGUGGUGGAUCGCUGGUGACGGCCAGAUUAAAAAAAAAGACGCCGGGUCUUCACGUGGAGAAAAGUAUAGAUCAGACUUCCUCUAGCCACGGACGCGCCGGUUGAUUCCGAGGAGACGAACGAUAGCAGCUCGUACAAGACUAACGACAGCAGUGCCGGUCAUGGUAAAGAGGUGUCGAUGGCUCGAGCGGCGGAGUACUUCUACGGCCGAGAGGUUCAGGGUAGAUGACGUAGUACAGAAACGAGGAAAUAUAAUUUACUACCUAGAGAUCCCAAACUAGGGGCUUUCUCUUCUAGUAGUCCUCAUGUGUUUUGCCCAAAGGGUUGGUACAUAUAUAUAGGAAGAAAAACUCUCCUCAUCAACGUCAAUUAGCAAUAUGGUACUAAUUGAUAUUGUAUCAUACACAUUUACUAAUAGGCCUAGUUAAUUAUUAAAGCCCAUUAGUAAAUAAAGACAUUGACUGUUGAGAUCAUGGGCUUGAGCGUGGGAUAAAAUGAAAGAUUUUAUUAUUUUCGAAAUUAACUAAUUUAGUGAAUAAAAUAAUUCUAGAAAAACAUACUCUAAAUGCUCCAAAAAAUCAAGGAAAGAUCUCAGAGACAUUAUGGAACAUGAGAAAACCAAAUAAAGUAUUUGGAGCUCAUGAUAAGAUAACUUGGAGCAUCUAAAAAUUAGAUCAUGCCCACAGAAAAGUGAGAACAAGUUCUAGAAAAAGAUGGAAAAAUUUCCAUAAAGUUUGUUGAACUGCUUGUUGGACGAGGAACUAAAAAAAGUGAUUUGGAUAACAAAGAAAAUAUUUUAGGAAGCUCCUAAUAAAAACUUGAGCUGAGAAACAAAUAAUUUGGUUAUAGAUAAAGAUAAAGACGUACUGGUCACGGAAGAUCGAUCUACUAAAUGCAUUUUAAAAACUUUGCUCACUCAACACAUAAAGGAGCAACAAACAAACAUCACAUAAAAUAUAUGUACCAGCAUGUAUGCACAACAAUGUUGCUAAACUCUAUGAUGAAUUUUAAUUUAAGGAAAAUUUCAUUUUACUAUAUUUUCAUGAGCACAGAAAUACAAAAUAAAUUAUUUUAGCUCUAUUUUCAAAGAAGCAAAAUUUAGGAUGUUACAAUUCUACCUCCCUUUAGCUGAAUCUCGUCCUCGAGAUUUGGAAGACGGAUAUCAAAGAGACAUAGAUUUUGAAUCUUGUUCACUUCCUUGAGUAGUUAUAUCUUCAUAGCAAUGAUUCCACUUCCUUACUCCAAGUAGCCUCUCAAGUAUUCCUAAAAUAUUGAUGAGACACCUAGUGUAGUAGGUAUGAUCCUUCUUUAAACUUAUUCCUCCAAGGGUAUUUUUUUGUUCUUAAGUACACCCAAACAUGGCUCCAACUAUGUCAUGUGAACAACUCAAGUACACCGAGCUCACUCUCAGGUAACUCCAAUUACAAGGCCACUUCUCUUUAAUUUUUUAGUCCAUGUUAGUAACACGAGCAAGGAUAGAUGAUCAUAGGAUAUCUCAAGAGACAACUCUCACUUCAAGAUAGUUUGAAAGUGCAUCAUCCGUGAUAUCAAGGUACUACCCCCCUUAAGACGAGAUUGAUUGGGGAAUAGUAAGGACUAGUUCUCCUAUCCUUUUUGAACGCUACACAUCAUAAUCUUUUAAAUUUGCUUGUACCGAGUCUCUUAAUCCAAGAUUAUGUUCCUCACUAAGUUCCAAUUAUCGGUACCUUUAUCAUAGUUAAGUUGCUUCACUCUCGCAUCCCACUUUUAACUUUGUAAACUUUGGUGUCAUCUGAUCCUCAUAGACAUAACUCUCAAUCCAUGAGUAUCAGCCAUGACAUAUAUCUCCAUUAAUAUUCUCUAAAUGGGGUGAUAUCAGAACCAAUUUACCAAGCACUUGUGAUCCUUACAUAUAAUCCAAUACUAGCCAAUCCUUUUCAUUGUAUCUCCUUUAACCAGGCUACCCCCUUUAAGGGAGGUCAACUUGGGGGCACAAGUAAGGUAGGUUGUAUGUUUUCCAGACAAGUUAACUAACAUUUAGAACUUCUGACAUCCCAAAGAACUUAUGUGCAAUGGAGCAAACAUGUAUCCUGAAAUUUCCUCGCGAUAUGAAAAACAUCAACGUAGUUAAACACAUAUAACUCUUAUUAUGUUAUUCCAAUAGAGUUGUAGCUUAUACCGUUAGAAAGCUUAUGAAUUUCCCUACAACUUUCAUGUAGAAUACCUCCUUGGGUUCUGUCUUUAAGCUUAGGUAAAAUAGCCAAACUUAAUAUCCAUCCUGACGAUGUCUCAGCAAAGGUGCAGUAAAUUCCAAAAGUUAUAUCUCGAGUUACUUAACUCAUGUGAAGAUGAUCCUUACAUUUUUAAAAAGCUUAGGAAAUCCUUUACAACUUUCGUAUACAACUUUUUCCCAGAUUCUGAGGUUAAGUUAUCUGAAAAUAGGGAAUACCAGAUCUGUCCAGAUUUUGAAAUAGAACAGAAACAUCCAAUUUUAAAUGUCAUAUCUCAGGAUAUACUUAUCCAAAUACGUUCCAUCUUAUACUGUUGGAAAGCUUAGAAAAUUGUCUAAAACAUUUCUAUAGAACACGUUUCCAAAUUAUAUAGUUAUUUUUGUCUCAAACAGUAAGUAAUCGAAACUGGUCCAGAUUCUUGACAGCACAUCUGUAUCAUCUUGUGAUUUUUGUAACUUCCAAACCAUAAUAGCUAUGAGGGUGAUUCUUGUGGUCUGAUAAAGAUCCUGAAUUCUAGUUGUUCCCACAAAGAUGUGAUAAACUUUGCACGAUCAGAUCUUGAGAUACACCAGAAUUAUUGCAGACUGCUCUAAAAAUCAGCAAGAGAUAGAAACAGGAUAUAACCGAACCCAACUACUUAUGUCAUUACUCCUUAUGCCUUCGGUCUAUAAACUAAAUGAUAUUGUGGAGAAAUUCCACAAAAUCAUUGCACUCAUUACAAAUAUCCAAAUCAAGCAUAAACAUAAUAACAAACCAAUUAAGCAUUGAACGUUCACACUUCACUCAACUUGCGGUACUAUCGUUCUCUUCAUAGUAAGGGUAAAGAUCCUAAAACUCCUAUUUCAAUAACGCUAGAAGGUGGUAAGAAAAAGUUUUAAAAGCAUAUCAAUCAAGGAGUGGGGAUGAGAACAAGUACUUUUAAAAUAAGCAAUAAGGUAGAGACAAAUAGCAAGGAUAUGGAUAUAGUAUGGAUGAAAAUACCAAGGUUUAUAGAGCAAGUAUUUUAUGACAAUUCCAAAACCUUAAGACGACUAAUUUCUAACUAGGCUUGCGUCCUACCGCCAGCAUUGCUUUGAUACCACUUUGUAAUACCCGGUUUUAAGGACAAAACCAGAUAUGCACCAUAUGUGAGUUUUAGAAGACAAAUCUCACAUAUAGCUACAAAUAAGGGGUAAUAUCAAAAGACAAUAUAUAAAUAUAUAACGUACUUAGUAUAAAAGAGAUAACCUUUGAUAGCAAACAGCGGAUAGACAACUCUAAACUUCGGGUAUUAACUCCACUCUACAGGAUCCAACUGACUGGUUGAUCACAAGCCUAAACUUCUCCUGAGGUUUGGGGGAAAUAGCAAGAGUGAGUCCCUGUCGAACUCCACAAGUAUAGCAACUAGAUUGUAUAGAUCCCACAAUUUCAUGACCAAUGUGACAUAAAUAAUGUAAAGCAUUAAACAAUAAACAAUGAGCAUUUUUAACACACAAGAUUCAUCACCCUUAAUGUAGAUGUCCCCAAGGCCGCUCCUGACCGUGAGCUCGGCUAGUAUACUAGUUUUAACACUCUGCAGAGGUUGUACAUCUUUACCCAUAAGUCAUGAUUUACCCUUUCGCCCGAGGUGAUCAGCCUCUUAACCCACUUCCAAGGAAGGUCGGCAGGGAUCACUAUGAAGCCUUUCAAAAGUACGUCUAACAUGUUAGGGCCGCAAGGUUUCCUUUGCGAGCAGACAUAGAUACCCCCUUCCGAAUGGCACAAUGAUGCGCAACCUAUACACAUAGGGACAGGGACUCGCAAUAUACCCGUAUCGGUUCAGUCCCUCUAGCGCCCUUUCGGGUAACCGCUAACAAGCUAGAAAAGGUCUUCAUACUGAGCUAAAGCCAGAGCCAUUAUAGCCCUCAUGGUUGCACUGUUGUCCCGGGUGAUCACGUACACAUAAAUCCUCAAGUUGCUAAAAAGUCAUUUUUAUCGUCUAUUCCUUAACAUUAAUCUAGUCAUAGGAUCAUGGUCACAGAAAUAAAAUCCAAAUGCUAUACUUGCCUUAAUCCAAAUGCUCUUGUUGAUCCUGCUAGUCUUACUAGUUGCCAAAGCUCUGAUCUUGAUCACCAAAAACUGCUCACCGACUAAACUCGAUCAUCGAAUAGCAAUACACAAGCAAUCGGGCCAAACAUACACGAAGCAAACAAUAGAACUAAAUUAGAACAAACACCAAACAAUAGAAAAUAGUAAGAAAAGUUUAUAAAAUGGUUUUACGCGUCACUACGAUCAUACAGACGUGAGAAGCACUCUAAUUGGAGCUACGACGAAAGAGAAAUGACUAUUAUAAAAUUUACUUUGGAGAAAAAGAAAACUACAUGCUUCGUUGAUUUCAAUAGUUAUAUAAAAUAUCUAUAAGAUAGUUUAGAGAAAUACUUAGAUUGAAUUAAAUUAAAUUAUAUUUGAAUUAGAAAAUGAAGUUAAAACUAAUAAUAUUUUAUUUAUAAAUGUGGUCGUAUAAAUUAAGCAAAUUAAUCUCUAAUUUUAUAAAAAGAAGUAACGUGUGGAAAUCUAUUGGAAUUAUAUAUGUACGAUCAUGUUCAAGCUAAGUAGUUAAGAUUGAGAAACAUAAUUAUGUUAGUAAUUAAUUAUAUUAAUGAUUACCAAAGUUUGACACCUAUAGUGCUUUUAGUUAUAAAACUAUAGUUGUAUGCAUAUUAAUCAAAUUAAUAUCGAAAUUAUAAGUUCUCAAGCACGUGACAUGUUAAGGAUGCUAGCUCGUACACGAUCACAAAUUAAAUCGGAGCUAAUACUAAGAAACAGAAUUACGAAGACACAGAGUGUUCCUCACCGGGCAAAGAUAGAAGUGGUGGAUCGCUGGUGACGGCCAGAUUAAAAAAAAAGACGCCGGGUCUUCACGUGGAGAAAAGUAUAGAUUAGACUUCCUCUAGCCACGGACGCACCGGUUGAUUCCGAGGAGACGAACGAUAGCAGCUCGUACAAGACUAACGACAGCAGUGCCGGUCAUGGUAAAGACGUGUCGAUGGCUCGAGCGGCGGAGUACUUCUACGGCCGGGAGUGGUUCAGGGUAGAUGACGUAGUACAGAAACGAGGAAAUAUAAUUUACUACCUAGAGAUCCCAAACUAGGGGCUUUCUCUUCUAGUAGUCCUGGCUUUCUCUUCUAGUAGUCCUCAUGUAUUUUGCCCAAAGGGUUAGUAUAUAUAUAUAUAGGAAGAAAAACUCUCCUCAUCAACGUCAAUUAGCAAUAUGGUACUAAUUGAUAUUGUAUCAUACACAUUUACUAAUAGGCCUAGUUAAUUAUUAAAGCCCAUUAGUAAAUAAAGACAUUGACUGUUGAGAUCAUGGGCUUGAGCGUGGGAUAAAAUGAAAGAUUUUAUUAUUUUCGAAAUUAACUAAUUUAGUGAAUAAAAUAAUUCUAGAAAAGUCUAGAAUUAUUAUUUAAGCCAUGAAAAAUACUCUAAAUGCUCCAAAAAUUUAAGGAAAGAUCUCAAAGACAUUAUGGAACAUGAGAAAACCAAAUAAAAUAUUUGGAGCUCAUGAUAAGAUAACUUGGAGCAUCUAAAAAUUAGAUCAUGCUCACAGAAAAGUGAGAACAAGUUCUAGAAAAAGAUGGAAAAAUUUCCAUAAAGUUUGUUGAACUGCUUGUUGGACGAGGAACUAAAAGAAGUGAUUUGGAUAACAAAGAAAAUAUUUUAGGAAGCUCCAAAUAAAAACUUGAGCUGAGAAACAAGGAAUUUGGUUAUAGAUAAAGAUAAAGACGUACCGGUCACGGAAGAUCGAUCUACUAAAUACAUUUUAAAAACUUUGCUCACUCAACACAUAAAGGAGCAACAAACAAACAUCACAUAAAAUAUAUGUACUAGCAUGUAUGCACAACAAUGUCGCUAAACUCUAUGCUGAAUUUUAAUUUAAGGAAAAUUUCAUUUUACUAUAUUUUCAUGAGCACAGAAAUACAAAAUAAAUUAUUUUAGCUCUAUUUUCAAAGAAGCAAAAUUUAGGAUGUUACACGCCCGCCCAGCUACAGUGUCCAAUUUGGACCCGUUUCGCGGAUCACGCUCCACCGACCUAAAGGAUCAAGGAAAACCGUGCGAUUAAUGUCGGUUUGAUCCAACGGCCCAGAUUAAUGUCGGUUUGAUCCAACGGCCCCUGGAGAUCAUACCUCUUCUACAGAAUCAAAGUUAGGGUUUCAAUUCUUCAUCCAAGUAGAGGGGAUCCCUCUAGUUCAUCUAGUUCUAGUUCUAGUUCAUCUAGUUCUAGUUAGUUCUAGUUGUAAUCUAGAAAAUAGGGAGAGAGAAGAGGAGAGCGGAGGAGGAGCCGGAUCUGUUGGAUCUUCCUCAACAUUAUACUUUUGCAGCAACUGGUUCGUUCUUCAUCGUUCUCCAAGUUCUUCAAUUCAAAAUUCCUGAGUUCUUUAAUUACUUUUAUUUACAUUCAAGUUAUUUAUCGAAUUCCCGCUUGCAUCAAGUGCUCUAGUCUUUAUAACGCUAGAGUAGUAAUUAAUAGAUUAGACGUGGUGUUUAGUCUUGCAAUUACCUGAAAUUGCACCCAAUCCUGCGGAUUGUUGUGGUAGCCCUAGGGUAGUGACAGCCCUAACGGUCGACGUAUUUCACCUCGUUCGGAUCGGUGUUUGUAGAAACUUAGUCAGAGCUUCCUAGCCCCCUUCUCAUCUCUUUCUGUGGUUAGUGUUCUGAUGUCGUGAAAUAAAUAAUCUUUGAAUUAAUUCUUGAUUCUUAGAUCAACUAGAGAACUCUCAGGAAACUUCCUCUCUUCCCACCAAAAAUAAUUAUAUAGUUAUCCUUGGGCGAUCUUGAAUCUUAAUUAGUACACUCACGUUCCCUGUGGAAAAUCGAUACUCUGGAAUACUACAUCGGUAUCCAUGCGCUUGCGGAUUUUUCUGUUUGCGUUUAAAAUACCCAACAAGCUUUCUGGCGCAGUUGUCGGGGAACGGUAGCUGUGCUAGUUUCGAACCAAGUCGUCUGUGUAUCCUUUUUCUUUUCCAUUUUUAUCACACUCACCUUACCAUUUUCACCACACCACAUGGAUUUCACUCCAAACAUUAAUGAGCAUGGAAUUUAUUUCAUAGCCACUUCAUUUGCUCUAUGCUCAUAUGCAACAUCUUCCAAAUCUAUUGGUCUCUCCAACAUCACCACAUUCGAGAUCUCCAACCCCCUCUUCCUUUAUAUUUACAAAAACUUUAAAAGGGCGGUUGUCGAUGCAUAUGUCUAUAUUAAAUAUUGCAGAUCUCGUUCAGUUGAUCUUGAUAUAGGUCAGCGUUGGAGGGGAAACCACUUCGCCGACAUAAAUUGAUGGUUCCCCAAAGACAAGCUUAGUGUCCUAAAAUAAGCACUGAUCACAUCGUAAUAUGAGCUUUUAAUUAUUUGCAACAUUACCUUGUGUAUUGAGCACAUAAGGAUAAUUGUAAAAAAUUCCUUCGGGUAUUCUUGUCACUAACCUUUCUAGGAUUGGAGCAAGAAGAUCGCAUGAAUGACAAGUGUUGACGGUCCUUAAGUACCAAAUAUAAUAAUCAAAUAAAUAAAGAAAAGGAUCCAAAUGCAACCAACACCCAGACUUAGGGUUUUAUCUGAUAGAAUUCCACGAGUUUUGGUGUUUGUCUAUUUCUGCAGGGGGUUAUCAGGAAAUAUGGAAGAAAGGCCCACACGUCGGGUUUACAUAAAGAUAUUAACGUGCCGCGCAAUUUUCUAUUAUCUAGAAGACUCUAGAAGCCACGGGAACAAACGGAAAGGCGAACGGGCCCGGGGGCAGGGCGCCCGCCCUCCCCCUUGGGCGCCCGCCCUGACCUGGAUUCGUUUCAGAACUCUCUUCGUGGACCAAGCUCCACCGACCUAAACGAUCAAGGAUAACCGUCCAAUCAAUAUUGGUUUGAUCCGACGGCCCAGAUUCACUUGAGGGGACUAUAUAAGCAGACACCCUGGCCCCUAGAGGAAAACAAGUUCAUCAUAGAGUUGAGAGGAGCCCUCGAAGGAAUACCUCUCCUCUAAAUAAAAUUUCUUUUGGCUUAGCAUCCAAUGUGAGUAGAAUUAGAUCUUCUAGUUUCUACUAGAUUGAGAGAGAUAGAGUGGAGGUGUAGAUCAGAGAAAGCCCAGCCUGUCGGUGUCUACUCCGAGGUUGUACCUGCGGGAUCAAGUCUUCUAACCCGAGGCUUGCUCCUAGGAUUCUUCAGUAAUUCGACUUCUAGUUCUAGUAAGUUCUUGCUUUAUUGUUCUUUGGUUUAUGAGUUUACUUUAAUCUCUUCCGGUUGAGUUUAGAGUAAUCAUUGCUAGCGUAAACGAGGUGUUUGGGCUAGGUUACUCAUAGAUAUCCCCUGACUAGCUGGACCGUGGUAGUAGCGAGGAACGUGAUAUUUCUGAGUUACCCUUGCAUGCCACAUCUCGUUAGCAGGACGGGUAGGUUUAUAGGUGCGGAUCGAACAUCCUUUGUGGUGUCUAGAUUCCGUAAGCUUCCCCAAUAGAACAGUAGAUCAUCCUUACCAAGGUUAGAAUGAGACUACGGUUGCAGUCUUCUCUAUAUAUCACUCACAUCGAGAAACAUUCUUUGUAGCCUAAAGGGUAGUAGCAAUAGAUUUGGUUAGUCAGAUGCACGCUUUCUCCUAGUGGUAAAAAUAUAAAUACGAUAUCUGGAUAACGUCCCGGGUGAAAUGCUCACCGAUAUUCGUGCGCUUGUGGAUCAUUUCCUUAUUGCGUUACCAAAUAUCAACAAACAUUUCUGGCGCCGUUGCCGGGGAGAAAGACGGUUUGCUGAGAUAACUUUAAGUCUUGCUAUUAUCUUGUAUUAUACUUUUAUACUUUUAUUCUUUUAUCUUUUUAUUUUUUCCAUCUUCAUGGAUAACUCAAAUUCCAUACUUAUUAUUGAAUUCUUUGCACCUUUGGAGACCAGCCAUAGACCAUGGGAGUCAACAAGUCCUGCCCCUAAUUAUGAUUUGUGUCGGAGUUGAUUGCAAUAGGUCAAAACCAACCCUUUUCUAUAGCUGAGGUCCUAUCUUUUAAUCAAGAAGAUAAUGCACUUUUAGCUACACCUAGGGAAUCUGUUAAUCUUUCCAUAAAUUCUGGAUUAAACCUAGCCCUACAAGACCAUGUUUUUUCUCGAUAUUUUCACAUUGGUCUUAAUCAUAUACCCUUUGGUAGAGUUUUUCUUUCUUUAUCUGUUAGUAAAGCAAGGUAUGUCUUCAUUCGUGGACAUCCUUCUUGUACUAGUCUUCAUAGAAAAAUCCUAGAGAUAGAGAAGGAAUCAUCUCCCAGACAAGGAAAGGAAGUUUCAAUAGCCGAUUUCCAAACAUUCCAAUCCCAUGAUUCGGCUAUCCAACCCAUCCUUGAGCCCAAUAAUUUCUCCUAUGCUCUUUCUCUUGAACCUCCCGAUGAUCCUAUGAAUCUCUCUAGACAUCCCAUUCAUAAGAGUCACCAAGACCACAAGGAGGAUCAAGAAGAGCAUCAUCAAUGGCUAGAGGGCAUUAAAAAUCCAUGUGCUAUCACCAUUGAAUGGAUGGAUAAAACAAACUUGAGAGGCAAUCCUAGAGGAAUUUUAAGCAUUCAUGAAGAAUCAUCCUUGGAGUUUGAGAAUGAGAGAAACAACAGUGAGCAUGGAAGUUAUUUCAUAAAUACCUCACCAAGUCCUUGCUCAUAUAAAACAUCUCCCCAAUCAAUUGGUCUCUCUAACCUUACCACAUUUGAGAUCUCCAACCCCCUCUUCCUUUCUAUUUAUAAAAACUUUAAAAGGGCGGUUGUCGAUGCAUAUGUCUAUAAUAAAUAUUGCAUAUCUCGUUGAGUUGAUUGAUGGUUUCCCAAGGACAAGUUUUGUGUCCUAAAACAAGCACUUAUCACAUCGUAACAUGAACUUCUAAUUAUUUGCAACAUUGCCUUGUGUAUUGAGCAUAUAAAGAUAAUUGUAGAAAUAUUCCUUCGGGUAUUCUUGCCACUAACCUUUCCAUGAUUGGAGCAAGAAGAUCGGAUGAAUGAUAAGCAGAAGGUAUGUCCAACCAAUCAUCAUACAACAUUGAAUUAAAUUCAUCCAAUCUUGAAUUUUGCAAAAUUCAAGCUUGGGGGAGUACUUUACAUAAAAACAUUAUUUGCCAUAUUGCUAUGUUGGUUGUCCCUACCUUUGAGACAUGCUCAAUUUUUUUUAAAUACUAAUCACACUACUUCAUCUCCACUUGAGUAGAUCUCUAUAAAUGCUCUCACGCUACCUUUAUUUGCUAAAGUAUAUGUCUAGGUUUGGAGUAGUUUCAUUUACCUCUUAAUUAAGCAUGGUGCUUAGUUUAGGAAUGAUGAUCUUACUUCCAAAGGAUUUUUAAAUUAAGCAUGGUGCUUAGGUUAAAAUGCCCUCCUAAAUCAAAUUAGACAUGGUGUCUAGGUUGAUUUUUGGGCCGACAGUAUGCUAUAGUAGAUAUGGGAUAUUUUGUUGGACUAACCCCUGCAGGAAAACUUUCAAUAUCAACUUGGGAAGUCCUGAGAUACAAACUCAUUGGAGAUAAAGGAGACACAUGAAGUUUAACAAUUUGCAAAAGAAGGACAUAGCUCAUUCAUCAUAAAGAGAUGAUCCAUGGAGGGUGCCACAAACACGAUGCACAACCGCUAAGAAAGGAAAGCUUGCACAAGGUGAUACUAUACCAUCACUCUUCAAUUAAGGUAACAUCUUAAGGUACUUGACUAUCGCUUAUAUAAGUUUCUCCUUGGUUCUCGCAUUCACAUAAAAUAAAGAGACAAACAUGUAUGAUUUAUAACUCCAAAUUAACCAACUCAACUGAUUCAGCAUGUUUAGACCUUUAAUCUUUGUUCCUAGUAAGCUAAAAUGUUGCACAUUCAAUCUUUGGAAGAUAUAAACAAAACAUAAAUAUAGAUAGAUUAUAUUUCCAUUAGGUUGAGCCAUCUGAUCUGACAAAUGCUACACUCAUGAUCCAUCAACUUUGUCUUGCUCACUAUGCUUAAGGUUAGAGAAGAACAAAUACACUUUUGGUUCUGUUGGUGUUUUCCACCAACAGGGCCCAUGCACUUGAUCUCUGCCUUGUCUCUAUGAACAGGUACACUUCAAACAAAACAUGGAGGAGUUUUACAACUCCCAGACUCCACCAAGUGAAGGACCUGGAUCUACGAGCACAAACACACUGAGCAGGAUAUUGCCAACACCGCACUUCGAACUGCUGGGCAAACAAAGAACAUGGGUGACUCCGUAUCAAGAGGUGCAGACGUCAAGGUCCAUGUUGCGUAUUCUUAACAUCAUUACCAAAAGUAGACUUAGUUUUCUAAUUCUGAUAACGGUAUUCUUAACACCAUGUUGAUAAGUCCAAGCUUGAGCUCAAAGUUGCCGUCGAUCCCUGCAGCAGGUCCAGUGCGGAUGUUGUCCGUAGUGGGAGCUAAGAACUCACGGAUCGAUUUGUUCGCUAUAGCUUCGAACUCUGAAGACAAGUUCCGGUGAUCUUCUUGAUUGGAUGAAGCUUCUUGCUGAAGUGUUGAUGAUCUCUUCUUGAGCUUGGCUCUAGUUUUUCUAAAUAAUGCUUCAGGAUUGUCACCAAAAUUUCCUGGAAGAUGUUUUCUAUUCAUACACUCCCCUGCAUAAGAUAAAAUAGAAAAUAUCGGGGUAAAACUGUAUGAGAGAAUUAAUAAGCUCAAUCAGAUUAGUGAUGCGAAUGAUAACUCAAAAUCCUAUGUCCAUUCCUCGCCAAAAAUGCUUGUUGGGUAUUCUUAACAUCAUUACCAAAAGUAGACUUAGUUUUCUAAUUCUGAUAACGGAGCCAAAAAUGCCAAACCUAUCUCCCAUGCCACUUAAGCCAAGUUGUCGUCCCCAACAUGACAUGAAAGACGCGGUAUUGAAAUAUGCAAUUGCUCUUCUAAAUAAAUAAUGAAUGGGAUCUGCAAACGCACAGAUUAAUACCGAUGUAGCAUUUUAACCGGAAAGUAUUCCAGGUAUCGUUAUUUAUAUUUUUACCACUGGGAAGGGAUUAGCAACCAUCAAUAUUGAUUAUAGUAUAGAAUAUGAGAUUGAGUAUCUAUCAUUGCAUGUAUAAUUGAGAACAUUUAUCUAACUCAGAUAAGUGUCACAUAAAAGAUAUAUGAAGUAAUGAAUAGUGACAAAGAUAAUUAAUCUGAUCAGCAUAACUUAGCCACAUAUAAAUAUGAUAAGCACCUCAAUUAGAUAUUCUAGAAAGUCAUUAGCAUGGAAUUAGAACGAACUACAAGAAUAUUUCCUAAGUUAUUCUCAACUAUAUAGUCUAGCAUUAUCAUAGUUAGUGCAAGUAUACUUAGCAAUCAUUGUGAGACAAGACUACGCCCAUGCAUAAUGAUAUUAGCAAGGAAUAUGAGAAACAUAGCAAUCACUCCCCUAUAAUAAUGUUGCUCUGUAUAACAUUCCAAAUUUUUGAAUUUCAAAUUUAGUUUAAAUUUGAUUUAAUUUUGGGCUUAGUUUGAAUUUUUGAGAAUUAUUAAAUAAUUUACAAAAAGAAAUAGAAUUAAAUAUAAGGUAGCAACGUGUUUGAUUUUUUUUAUUCAUGCUGCUGCACUAUUUUUGCUUGUUUUUAUUUUAUUUGUUGGUGCUUGUUUUGUUGUGGAAGAAAGAAAAUAAAUAUCACAAAAGUCUGUUAAAAAAAGAGAAGAAAAAAAGAGCUUCACUCUUCCUCUUGGGCCGGCUUCCCCCCCUCGGCCCAGCGCCCCGCGCGCCUCCCCCUCUCCCGCACGGCCCAGCCGCAGCGCCCCCUGCCCCUUUUGCCGCUGCCGCCCGCUGACUGGUGGGCCCCGUAGGUGGGACCCACCUGUCAUCCCCGAGCUCCGUCCGAAUCGGACGGGAGCAACCGCCGCGCCGCCUCCUCCUCGGCUUCCGCGCAAAUCCCGCGUCCCGAGGUUCGCCCGCGCUUUAAAUAGCCUCCCUCGGCCGCCCGCACGUGCCCUAGCCACCUCCGAAGCCCUAGCCGACACGCCGAGUUCCGCAGCGCCGCCGCCGAGCUCCCCGCGCCGCCGCCGCCGUCGAACUCGCUCCACCGCCACUGUUCGCCCCGAGGUGAGCAUCCCCCGAGCUCCGCCCUCUCGCGACGAAUGCGCUCGCGCACUCGGCGGGCCUUUUCCCCCUCUCUGCCGCGCGUACGGCCUCGCCGGAGUCCGCCGCCGCCGCCGUCUCGCACCGCCGCGCGGCCAGCGCGCCCCGGCCAUCCUCGGCCUCAACCCGCGUGCGCAUCGGUGUUGACACUUCUUAACGCAACCACCGGAUAUCGGCGACGGCGCCAGAAGUGCCCUGGUAGGGUAACUCUAUUUACUAUUGGAUAAUUCCGCAAGCGCACAGAAUGUACCGCUGUAGCACUUCACCAAGGAGUAUUCCAAGGUAUCGUAAUUUAUAUUUUCCCAAGGGAAAGCGGCUAAGUGUGUUUAACAAAAAAAAGGGAAUGAGAUUCCUUGAGUUAUCUAGUAUCAACUAGUGAAUAAGGGUGGUAAAUAACGAAUAGGAAGGGUAGUGGUGAAUCCAAGGUCCUAUGCUAAAGGUAAAUGGUAGAGUUAGCUAGGUGGGAGGACAACGAGUGAGUAAAGGACUCCUAUGUAUCUAACUUGACUUCUGUGACUCACUUUAAUAGAUAAUUGCCUUAACUACGCUAGAGCCUUACUAACUGUGUGCGAGGGAUAGCCGAGAUGGUAAGACGCUUAGAAGGUUUUUCACCUAACCCCUUACCGAAAGCGACUAUUGGGCUUAUGGACGCCUUACCUUUUAAGAACUAGCCUGUACGUGAGGAGAACCUUAUGCCUCCCACGAUCUGUCACCUACUAGGGAGUGCGCUCCUACUUUCCGUUCAAGCCAGCGGUAAUCAAAGGUAAUCUUAAGUAUGAGCACCACGCUCACACUUAAUCCUACAACGCUAACUAGUUGCAGCUAGCUAGAGCUCCUAUACAAGAUAGGACGAUGAUGCACACACAGGAGUGGUUACAGGUCACUAACUUCACUAAGACAACUAUAUUACUAAAGUAAAUGCACAACAAGACUAAAAGACUUGCACUAAGUAAGAACUCAGUAAAGUAAAGUAAGAAUAAUAUAUUAAUAAAAGGAAAGUCUUACAAAAGUAGAAAGGUACAAGAGCUAUACCAGACUCUCCAGAAGACGACUCCGGAGACCCCGAGCUUCGCUCGACUCGACUCUAACUCCCACUCUAGACUAACUACUACUCUACUUGUAUGCUUGGAACUUGUAAUGCACUUGGCCUUGGAAUUGCACACUUGAAAUGAAGGAUGGAGGCUGCCUUUUAUAGAGGGAGAUGGAGUAGGGGUUACUCCAUCGCCACGUCAUCGAUCCGCGUGACAUCUUCUCUCCACCCUUGGAUCAAACCGACCUCACAACCGCCAUUUGAUCAACGGCAGGGGCAAAUCAACAUGUGGGACAUGUGGGGAAGGUCGGUGGGAGGCCACCGACCCUGGAACCGCCUUUGAUGUGGGGUCGGGCGACCCCACUUCUGGGCCUCUGGGCCCACCAGCAGUGUCCACAGGGGUCCCUUAUGUCGGUGGACUAGGUGGCACACCUGGGUCCCACCAAAGAGGGGUCGGGCGACCCCCUCCCUGUGGGCCCAUGGUAUCACCUGUUGUCCCCUCGAUCUCCUCUCGAUGAUUCUGAUGUUGGCUUUGUCAAAUAAUGUCUUGAAUUUGUUGUUCCUGCAUAAACAAGCUAAGAGUACAAGUGGAACUAGUUAUGGAUAAAAUAUGUUCAUGUCAUGUCGUUUCCCCUUGCAACCGAGGCAUGUUGACGGUGUUUUGUAUGUGGAUUUCUAUGGUAUAUCCACCGUCAACAAGAUCCCCCAAGCUUAACCUUUGCUCGUCCCGAGCAAACAAUCAAACUUAGCCUCGGUGGAUCAGGUAUUGUUACUAUGUUCACAUUUCAAGAGUACCAUGUGUACAACAAAGUUCUUCUCUUUGCAUGAAAAAUUUAGCUAUGUAAACUUACCCCUAUUACCUUAGUCCCUUAUGGGGCUUAUGGCUUUUCCUUUGUCUUAGGUGGUUGAGAGACAGAACAGUUUGACUUGAGCACUAACUUUCUCAUUCUUAGCAAGUUUCAUAUCAGAGGUUUUGUGAUAUUUUCAAAAGAAAGCUUAAAUGUUCCUCUUAUGGUUCUCUCAUGUCACUCAAAUGGUGUAUGAUUCCUCACCAAGGCAUAUGGUAAGAGUUGCCUUCUCUAUUUCAUCCUAUUUCUAAAAGGCUUAUGUGGAGUUCAAGGUAGGGAUGAAAGGAGAUAGCAUACUUACUUUGCAUGUAUUGCGAAGUCAAAGCUCGGAUCCUUGAAGAGAAGUGUCAUACUCCCAGAUCAAGAUGUGCAAGUGUGAUAUAUGGUGGACUAGGUUGCUCCUUUAUUUGAUAGACUCUCUAUGUAUUGAGACAUGGCUAGCAUUUUUUUUCUUCUUUUUUUUAUAUAUGAGCUUUCAUGUGCUCAAUUUUCUUUUUCUGUGGACUUGCACAUGUCCAUCUUUUUAUUUCAUUUUGCCUAGCCUUUUGAUGUCUCAUUUACCAAAUAAUGCUUAGAGAGAUGUUCUAACAUUUAGAGUAUGGAGCAACCUAUUUAGUGGAUGCGAAAUACAUGUGGUUGCGUACUUCCAGUGUAGAAGCAGCAUAUAUAUAUGUGGUGUGUACGUGAUCUUGAUCUUAGGAGCAUGAAAAGUCUCUUAACAAGGGUCAACAAGACUUGACGACACUCAACACAAAGCAAAUAGCUUAUGUGGAAAGGUUGCAAUUAUGUAAAGUAGAUAUGGCUGUGGUAGGAAUUCAUCACCAUUGAGGAACAAUUAAGGUUUUGAUCAUUUUAAGAAUAAAUCUCUGAUAAUCAUGCAUGCUUAGAAAAAUAUUAUAGUAGCUCUUGCCUUACUAUCUCAUGUCCCACAACAACUUAGACUUAGUUCUAGCACUUGCAACCCACAAAGUUUUUAGGUUCAUGGCAGUUUAAGUGAGCUAAGUGAUCCAUACUUAGAGAAAUACUAAGUUGUAUACUAGGCACUAGAGAAACAUUAACAAGCAACUAGUCAUAAUUUCCAUGAGGGAUAUAAACAUACAUGAAGCAUAUAUGCUAAAGGGAAAUGCUAAUAAAUAUUUAUUUAUUUUUUAAGUAAGAAUGAUAAAAUGCAUGAAAAUAAAUAGGAUAGAAUACUUACCUUAGUGGGGGAGAGGAUCUCCCCCAAGCUAGAUCUUCGCUCACUGUGGUGGCGGGAAAUUUUGGUACCAUCCAGCCCAGCGUUGUGCGUCUUCCUCUCGCACACGUCGGAUAUGUUGGCCGUUUUGUAACGCCAGUUGCAAUGUUGCUUCUUGCCCAAUCUGCAAUUCGCCCAUGUCAUUAAUGAGACUGUCCAUACCUGUGGGCUGGUGACACCUAGCCCUGUCCCUUGGGCGUGGAGUGCGUUGUGGAGGUAGACCCAUGGAGUCUGAAGCAUCCACUGACAUCGCUUCAUCGCCCUCUUCAACGUCAUGGUGCGAGGAUCCUCCUUGCUCCAUCUGGGCGGCUUGCAUCAUCCUUCUUGUCACCCUGCGUGUCCCUGCAACAUCUGGACUUGCCACUCGGGCUAGUCUAAUGGUAAGUGUGCGGACCCCAUACAACCGGCGCCUCGCACAUGGGAGAGGAAUUUCGGUUGUAUAGCCCGGAUAAAUCAUUUUAAGUUCACCAUUUGGAUCUCUUAUGAGCAUGUUAGCAUUGAUAAAGAAGUUCUCAUCUACCACUCCUCUAACAUAGCCAAUGUCUUCAAAAUAAUGUGAUUCAAGUAAUCCAAAAGUAUCGGCUAUUCGAGUAAUAAAGGAUGUGAAAUAGAUGGGCUUCCCAUACUCAAUAGAGUUAAGCCAAUAGUUCACUAGCAGUUUCACAGGGGAGACCUUGAUUUUACUAACCAUGGCAUAGAGAAUUUUAAGUUCAUCAUCAAUUAAAGUAUCAGUUCCCAUGCCAGGAUAUAGAGUGCACAUGAUCCAGAAGUGAAGAAAGCGCAACGUUGGAUUAUGGAUUUCAAUGGGACUAGGAUUUGAACAAUCAUUAGAGCCAGAAAUUGCUUUCCAGAAUCUAAAUUUAUCGAACAUUCUAGUGGCAUGAUCUAGAUCAAGUUCACAUUCAUGUUCACACCCUAAAGCAGUGUUUAGCAAACUCCAAUUUAAUUGAUGUUCUUGCUCACACAUGCGAAAAGAUAUUCCAUUAUUUGUGAGUUUUAGGGUGCAUAGAAAUUCCUUAGCAAGCAAUUCUUUUCCAAAUUCAGGCACUUGCCAAAAACUACUCCAACCAAUUGCUCUAAACACCUUAUCGAAUUCAACAUCCAUACCUGUGCGGGCCAAAAGGUCCGGAUCGAUGAUGCUAGUGUGUAGGAAGAGACCCUCUCGGAGGAUGUAGUACCUUUGCAACUCUUCUUGGCUUAACAUGAGGCCGCUCUCGGGCUCUCUCAUCCUUGAUGGAGGCUCGUAGGGUACCAUCCCAUGGUAACCUUCUUCUUCCUUCCUUCCAUGAGCAUGGUGAGAGCCUUGAGAAGAGCUCUCACCCUUUGCUUUCUUGAACUUGCUGAAGAUAUGCUUCUUCAUCCUCCUACACAAGUGAGGCAAACCAAGCUCCUACUACUACUACUAUGCAAGGGGAAUCUUUUUGGGUUUUUGUUUUGAUGACUAUUUCUAAACUAAACUUGAGAAAUGGCUUGUAACAAAGAGAGAAGAGAAAGGAUUGUGAGCUCGAAAUGGUUCUGGUGGUUUUGGGUGUGGAGUUGAGCUCACAAUGCUGUGGUAUUUAUAGGGGGAGAAGGGCAAGUAGUGGACCCACAAUAUAGGGGUUGGCCGACCCCCCCUAGAAGCACUUUGAAUUUGAGUUUAGCUUUAUACAGGGAACCAUUCUGCAUGCUUUCAAGAUUUUACAGAGAUGGUCCAAAAUGGGGGUCGGCCGACCCCCAUCCUAGCCCCUCCUCCACUUUAAACAUUGUGUCAUUGAUUGUCCGGAAAAGUAAAGGCUAGGUGUGGACCAAAAGUUUUCAAAUUGUUUCUGAGAUUCCCUGUUUUAGUGCUCUGUGAAAGGUAAAAGAUGAAUGGCAAAAGUGGAGACAUGUCUAAAGUGAUUCCUAUGGACUAUGGGAGCACUCAAGCAUGCCUAGGUGACCACUUUGCAGAAUUUGAGCUAGUGGAGUGGUCCCAAAAGAAUCAAAGAUGAAAGGAGCAUCUUAUGACUAAAAUAAAGGAUCAAGGGACCACUCUUUUUCAAACUUUAGCUAGUGUUACAAGCAUAGGACUCCAUUGUGAUUCAAAUGGUGGCCAGUAGGAUGCAAGUGGGGCCAAUAUGGGGGUCGGCCGACCCCCACAUUGGAGCUCCCAGAGCAUCCAAGUGCUGGGUUGGAACCUCUAUGACUAGCAAGGUUGAAAUGCGGUGAAGUGGGCCCCAAGGUGGGGUCGGGCGACCCCCCUUUGGGAGCUCCAGCAGCUCAAAUUUUUAUGACAAGUUAUUCUCAAGAUUUUAUUUAUUAUGGCUAAACAUUUUGUCGAAAUAAGAUAUGCAAAAUUCAAAGUAAGAAUGCAAUUGAAAAGUGAAUAGUAGAAAUUGAAAUGCAGAAAAUAAAUAUGGGAUAACUACUGAUUUACCUUAUCAGCAAGGGCUCCAUGUUUUAGGUCCGUAGAGCAGGACCUCUCCAUCUUGUUCAUCCUUCGGGUGCAUCAGAUGGCCCCGGAGACGUGGACCUUGAUUGCACCUCUUUCUCCCGCCAUACUUGCUUGGUAUUGAUUUUUGGUUCAGCGGGUUCCUCUUCUUUCUUUUCGGCCCUUUUGGCCGACUUACCUCUCUUGUCCCUUCGGCGUUGGAUGUGGCGAGGCUUAGUCGGAGGUUCUUUGUCCUUCACCUGCAUGUUAGCUUUAUAACCAUUGAAUGGACAUUUUACCUUCCAUCCUGGAAAUUGGAGGUGAAUCUGGCCGGACCCCACAUAGAUGACUGCAUUGACCGUGUUGAGGAAUGGCCUUCCCAAGAUGAUCGAGACAUCAUUAUUGGAUCCCAUAUCUAGAAUGAUGAAGUCGGUAGGGACGUAGUCGUCUUGAACUUUAACCAGUAUGUCCCUUGCCAACCCCUCAGGGAACCUGAUCGUCUGAUCUGCCAUCUGCAAACGAACAAAUGUGGGGUGCAAAGGCCCCCCUAGCAAAUUAUCAUAAGUUACCUUGGCCAUGAUGUUGAUACCCGAUCCAAGGUCGCAGAAGGCGUUGUGGAAGAUUUGCGGUCCGAUCUCACAGGUGAUGGUCGGCAGGCCUGGGUCGUCCUUCUUGGUGAUGAAGGGCGAAUCCAGAAGAUAGCUCCAGUUGGAUUGUACCGGAGGCUUACCGAACCUCGUAGUAACUAGUUUAACUCCUUCAAUUGGGUCCUCAGGUUUCCCUGGGAUCUUACCUUGCUCGAAGGAUGGGACAGCUGCUGCUAAUUGAGCUAGUUGUGUUUCUAGCAUUUUGUUAAAGCUCAACUGAUUUUUCAUAGCAGAGUUAAAGCUAUCCAACUUUUCACUUAAGUUUUCAAGGAUCUUAUCAUUAGCCAUCAUUUUCUUGUUAAUGCUAUCAUUGAUUUUAGAUUGGCCUAAGACAAGAUCUCUAAGAGAAGGUUGGUUACCAAAAGAAUUAUUGAAAUUUUGAUUGUAACCAUUACCUUGAUUACCUUGGUAGAAGGGGCGCGAGUUCCAUUGCUGUUGUUGGGGCCGGUACCCAUUGUUGUUGUUGUUGAUGAAGCUCACUUCCUCCUUUGUUUCGGGACAAUUGUUUCCCGAAUGAUCAUCUCCUCCGCACACUUCGCACCAUGAAUCAGAUUCAAUGGCCCGUGCAGUGGCGUAAGGUUGAAUGGUCUCUUGCUUGGAACUUUCUUCCAUCUUCUUCAUUAAGAGGUCCAUCUUAGCAGAGAGCAUGUCCACCUCAUUCAAGGCAUGGACACCUCUUCUCUUGGGUUGGAGGCGUUCCUCAUUCCAUCCUUGGUUUAUAACCAUCUUUUCAAUGAGGUCCUUGGCAUCCUUGACAUUGUGUUGCAAGAAUGCUCCUCCAGCGGCAGCAUCAAGGUGACUACGGGCCAAACCGGUCAGGCCAUGGUAGAAACCUUGGAUUAGGAGCCACUCCUCUAUCCCAUGAUGAGGACAGGCGCGAAUGUACUCCUGCAGACGUUCCCAUGCUUCGGGAAUCGUCUCAUCUGCUUGCUGUUGGAAGCUGGAAAUCUUUCCACAAAGGGCGCUGGUCUUGCCCAUCGGAAAGAACUUCUUGAGAAAUGCAUUGGCGCACCUCUCCCACGUGGUCACUUCACCCUUGUUGGCGUAGAACCAUUGCUUCGCCUUCCCCAAUAACGAGAAUGGGAAGAGGCGAAGACGGAUGGCGUUUGCGGCGACAUUCUUGAUGGUGAAGGUGCUGCACACCUCCAAGAAGUGUUGGAGAUGGGCAUUGGCAUCCUCGUGUGGCUUUCCACAGAAGGGAUUAGCUUGCACCAUAUUGAUAAGCGCAGGCUUCAACUCAAAAGUCGCAUCCCCCAAGUUAAGCUGCGGACCCGUGGCGACAUUGUCAGCCGACGGCGCAGAGUACUCAGAGAUGGUCUUCUGGGCCAUAGCUUCUUUGAUAACCGGUGCAGAUACUCCUUCCUCUAACGGAUUGAGGUUCGAGAUGAACCUUUGAGGUGGAACUUGAUGACGUCUAGUUCUCCUCCACAGUUGCUCAGGAUCUUCAACGAAGUUUGACGGCAAUUGGAAACCGCUCAUACACUGUCAGGCUUCACAAUAAAGGAAGACAAGACAAGUGAUGGGUUAUCCCUAUCACUACUUGAUAACUAGCAAACUCUGGAUUCUCUUUUUGUUAAAACUCUUAGACAGACGCUCUCCCCGGCAACGGCGCCAGAAAUGCUUGUUGACACUUCUUAACGCAACCACCGGAUAUCGGCGACGGCGCCAGAAGUGCCCUGGUAGGGUAACUCUAUUUACUAUUGGAUAAUUCCGCAAGCGCACAGAAUGUACCGCUGUAGCACUUCACCAAGGAGUAUUCCAAGGUAUCGUAAUUUAUAUUUUCCCAAGGGAAAGCGGCUAAGUGUGUUUAACAAAAAAAAGGGAAUGAGAUUCCUUGAGUUAUCUAGUAUCAACUAGUGAAUAAGGGUGGUAAAUAACGAAUAGGAAGGGUAGUGGUGAAUCCAAGGUCCUAUGCUAAAGGUAAAUGGUAGAGUUAGCUAGGUGGGAGGACAACGAGUGAGUAAAGGACUCCUAUGUAUCUAACUUGACUUCUGUGACUCACUUUAAUAGAUAAUUGCCUUAACUACGCUAGAGCCUUACUAACUGUGUGCGAGGGAUAGCCGAGCUGGUAAGACGCUUAGAAGGUUUUUCACCUAACCCCUUACCGAAAGCGACUAUUGGGCUUAUGGACGCCUUACCUUUUAAGAACUAGCCUGUACGUGAGGAGAACCUAAUGCCGCCCACGAUCUGUCACCUACUAGGGAGUGCGCUCCUACUUUCCGUUCAAGCCAGCGGUAAUCAAAGGUAAUCUUAAGUAUGAGCACCACGCUCACACUUAAUCCUACAACGCUAACUAGUUGCAGCUAGCUAGAGCUCCUAUACAAGAUAGGACGAUGAUGCACACACAGGAGUGGUUACAGGUCACUAACUUCACUAAGACAACUAUAUUACUAAAGUAAAUGCACAACAAGACUAAAAGACUUGCACUAAGUAAGAACUCAGUAAAGUAAAGUAAGAAUAAUAUAUUAAUAAAAGGAAAGUCUUACAAAAGUAGAAAGGUACAAGAGCUAUACCAGACUCUCCAGAAGACGACUCCGGAGACCCCGAGCUUCGCUCGACUCGACUCUAACUCCCACUCUAGACUAACUACUACUCUACUUGUAUGCUUGGAACUUGUAAUGCACUUGGCCUUGGAAUUGCACACUUGAAAUGAAGGAUGGAGGCUGCCUUUUAUAGAGGGAGAUGGAGUAGGGGUUACUCCAUCGCCACGUCAUCGAUCCGCGUGACAUCUUCUCUCCACCCUUGGAUCAAACCGACCUCACAACCGCCAUUUGAUCAACGGCAGGGGCAAAUCAACAUGUGGGACAUGUGGGGAAGGUCGGUGGGAGGCCACCGACCCUGGAACCGCCUUUGAUGUGGGGUCGGGCGACCCCACUUCUGGGCCUCUGGGCCCACCAGCAGUGUCCACAGGGGUCCCUUAUGUCGGUGGACUAGGUGGCACACCUGGGUCCCACCAAAGAGGGGUCGGGCGACCCCCUCCCUGUGGGCCCAGGGUGUCACCUGUUGUCCCCUCGAUCUCCUCUUGAUGAUUCUGAUGUUGGCUUUGUCAAAUAAUGUCUUGAAUUUGUUGUUCCUGCAUAAACAAGCUAAGAGUACAAGUGGAACUAGUUAUGGAUAAAAUAUGUUCAUGUCAUGUCGUUUCCCCUUGCAACCGAGGCAUGUUGACGGUGUUUUGUAUGUGGAUUUCUAUGGUAUAUCCACCGUCAACAAUCGGCUCCGCCGUAACGCCCGCAACCCGCCACCGUCCUCGGCUCGCCUCCCCAUGCCCCGGUUCGCCGUCCCGGCGAAGUUCCGAGCCGCGGCCAUGGCGCGCCGCCACGGCCGGCCGCCCAGCCCUGCUGCCUGCUCGCCUCGCCAAGGGCGCGGUCCACCGUGGACCGCGACCCCCGCGCCUGCACGGCCGGUCCACUGGACCCGGCUCACCGCCCCGCGCCCCCCCGGUCCACCGUGGACCGGUGCACCCCGCGCCGCACCCGGUCCACCGUGGACCCACCAGCCGCAAGCCGCCACGUGGCCAGGACGGCCACGGUCCCCGCGCGCCCCUGCGUUUUUGCAAAAACUCCCCUGGGUUUCUUUGAAAUCAACCCGCGCUCCAUUUAGUUUUAGAUUUAUUUAAUUUAUGCCCCUGCUUUUACAGUUUAGCCCCUGCACCCGUUAGAAUUUAUAUAUUUAAUCCAAAAUGAGUUUUAAUUCAGUUUUAAUUAGUUUUAAUUACGAAAAAUAGUUCAGUUUAUCUACAGAAAUGCCAUUCAACUUGUUUUAGCCAUAACUUUUGCAUCGUAACUCCGAUUUAGGCGAUUCUGGUCGCUAUGGUUUCGUUUCGUCGAGUAGAAUACAGUAGUACAGUUGUUUUCUGUUUUCGCAUGCUUUGGUGUACUGUUUCUGAUUAAGUUUGUUUGCUUGCAUGUAUUGUUCCUAUGAUUGAUGAUUGUCGCGUAUAGCCAACGAGACGUUCGUGAUGGAAGAGGUUCAGGAUCCCGCUGAGUUCGAGCAACCCGACUUCGAUCAAGGCAAGUGCAGACACAGUUUGAUCAUUUUGAACCUACUCAUUAAUGUCAUUUACUUUAUAUGCAUGUGUCCAAUGAAUGCAAACCCUAAGGACAUGACUAGCUUUACUUACUAUUCCUUGUUCACCUGGGGUUAUGUAUUUGGGUAGACUAGGCUAUACUAGGUUUGCUUAGCUGCUCUACUCAUCUUAUACACAUGCCUAAACAAGUAUUAGUCUCUACUCAACUUGAUGCUUAAAUUGUGCUGAAUCUUUGGUCACUGCAGUGAUGGCGAUGUUGGAUGCUUAUGAGCAUCGUGAUGAUGGUGGUGACAGGGGGAGCGGGUACCGUUGGUGGUCCGGUUUGCCGGGCGUACCCGUCUCUGCUCUUCAUAAGGACUUAGUCAGGGAGCGGCCCCCUGGGACUUACAGUGCAGCUCCAAGCUAUAUGGCUCUGGCUUGACUAAUUAGCAGGACCUCCACUAGUAGGGUGUUACUUUCCGGGUAGGCGUGAGGAAGUAACUUGGGUAAUGAAUAUUAAGUUGUCGGUUGAUCGGUACGCCAUGGCUAUGGGUAUCGACUGUCGAGCGCCCCGGCGAAAACUUGCGAGUGGCAUCCUAUUAGUUGGACCCUGUGAAAGGUCUCGUAGUGAGACCCUGCCUGCUCUCCUUGGCAGUGUUUUGGGGAGUCGCGACCCCGGGCAAAUGGGAAUCACGACUUGGAGUGAACGUGCACACCUCUGCAGAGUGUAAAACUGAUAUAUCAGCCGUGCUCACGGUCACGAGCGGCCCAGACCCUCACUUGAUGAGCAAAUUGGAUUCACUAGUUACUUGGAGAUGGACCUUGGCGAGGUUGCUACCUCAUGUUUUGGCGGAAUGGCUAUUCCGUGUUGGCAGGAUUGCUAUCCUGUGUUAUUAUUUGGGGUUAAUCCCUGGACUUCUAUAAUUAUUAGGUUAAUCAUUUAAAAGAUGUUAAUCACUACUUAUACUAAUUAAGGGUUGGGUUUAUGCUACUCAUAUUUAGUAAUAGGUUGUUCUAAUAAUAGUUUUAAUUAAAAGUGAUCAACUAAAAUGCUACCACAGUCAAACCAAGUCAGCUUUACCUUGUUUUAAGCCUUGCAUGUCAUUACUUUCCGUCUGUGCUUGCUGAGUUCGACAUGAGCUCACCCUUGCUAUAAUCAUUAAAUGUUGCUCGGACGAUCAGGAGUACGAUUGCGAUUUCCCUGAGGACUACCCUGAGUCUCCUGGUUGUUAGGCUCGUGUGGUUCUGCCGUCGACCUUCCUGUGGCAAGGUGGUCCUGCUACGUCGACGUUUAGUUUUCCCCUUUAAUUAUGGAACAAUUUAGCUUAUGUUUCCCCUUCGCACUUUGAUAAACUUUUGGCUUGUAAUAAUGGUACAUUUACUCUCUCAUUUAUGAAAUUCGUUUGAACACUGUGUUUUGUACCAUUGAUGAUGUCGGUCCAUGUGUGUGAAUUUGAGAUCCUGGCGCACAUGUGAUUUGACACCCGAAUGCUCUUUUACAUCCGGGUGUGACACUCUGGUAGCCCAAUACAUGAGAAGGGGACUAUAUAAGAAUCAAUGAAGCUGUCACUACCACGAACUACCCCACGAUCUGGCAUGUUGGGUACAAUCGCAGAUAAAUACGGUUUAAGCACCACGCCUACACAAUAUCUAUCAUUUACCCAUGGAUCCGAUGGAUAAACACUAUACGAUCCUAAACAUGUAUAUAGAUCCAAUCUAACUAAGCCAAGUAUAUAACUAUGAUAAACUAAGAACAAUAUAAUCUUGAAUAUAAACAAGUAGAGCAAAGUCAUAAGCAAUAUAUUGAAGUAAAACAAAGUCAUAUUCAAAAUAUUGAAGAACAAAGAUGAUUAGAAGAACAAUUAAAAGAACAAUUAGAGAAUUACCAAGAAUCCUCUUGACAGAUCCAGAAACUAAUCGAAGAUUGACUCCUUCUAGUUCUAAUCCUAUGUAGCUAUGCUAAUCUAGAUGUCUAAUUGAUGUGGUGGCUCUAAUCUUGAUCAGGGGCUUCUUCUCCCUUGAGGAAUAAUGAAUUAGGGUUGAGAGGCUCUCUCCUCCAGGGGCCAGGGGGUCUGGUUUUAUAGUCCCUUCAAGUGAAAAUGGGCCGUUGGAUCAAACUGACAUUGAUUGAACGGUUAUCCUUGAUCCUUUAGGUCGGUGGAGAUCUUUCCCGAAAGAGAGUCCUCUUUGGACUCCAACAGGGGGCGGGCGCCCAGGUCAACUGGGCGGGCGUUCAGUGCCUGGCCCCGUUCGGCCUCUGCUUCCUUCCCGUGGCUUCUGGAGUCUGCUAGAUGUAAUUGCACGGAACGUUAAUAUCUCUAUGUAAUCCCGACAUGUGGGCCUUUCUUCCGUAUUUCCUGAUAACCCCGUGCAGAAAUAGACAAACACCAAAACUCGUGGAAUUCUGUCAGAUAAAACCCUAAGUCUAGAUGUUGAUUUCAUUUGGAUCCUUUUCUUUGUUUAUUUGAUAAUUAAAUUUGAUACUUAAGGACCGUCAACAAACUCCUCCAAGAUUACCUCUUGCUCGUCCCUGAGCAAGGAUAGACUCAGUGAUGGAUCAGAAGUUGUUGCAAUACUUUUAAAAAUUGACGGUACACAUGCUUUUAAAUAAGAUCUCAUCUCUGAGUUAGAGUAAACUGUCAAGACUUAAAACUUACUUACUUUACCUUUCACCACGGGACUUGUAACCGUCACUUCUGUCUUGAGUAAUUAAAAGAUAGAACAGUCUAGUCAAGUGCCAUGUCUCUUAUUCUUGAUCAGCUAUAGCUCUGGAGUUUUUGCAGAUUUUCAAAUAAAACUCAGAGAUUCCUUGUAUGACUCUCUUAGAUCUCUCUUUUGUGGUAUUUCUAGAUCCUUACCAAGACAGUGAUGGUAUAUGCCUUCUCUCAUGAUAUGUGGUAUAUGUGGUAUAAGGCAUAGUGACAUUGCCUUCUCUCUCAUCCUACUCAAAUAAGGCUUUAAUAUCUGGAGCUCAUAGGUGGGAGAUAAAAUAUACAUACUUACAAAACAUUUAUUGUAUAGUCAAACCAUGGAUCCAAAGAAACAAAUCAAUAAGUCAAAUCAAGAUGUGCAUGUGUGGCGAAUGAAUGGUGUAUGGUGAUGAUGGUGAUAACAAUGGUGAAAGUCUACUUUUGCUCUUUUGAGAGGAUACAUACCUUCCAUGCUUUUUGAAACAUUUGAGGAGAAUGAGAUGCUCUAUCUUUUCUUUUCUCUCAGGUGGGUAUCUUGUACCCCUAAUUCUACUGUCAGACACUUGUCCAUUUUUACCUCUCGUCUCACUUUUUCUUUUCUUUCGAGGUUCCGGGCACUUGCCCCUUUUUAUUUCCUCGUAUCUUUUUUUUCUUUUUUUAGAGCACUCAUCUCUUGAGAUAAUACAGCAAGUGGUAGUAACAAGAUAACUUGAGCAUUUAUUUCACAGGGGAAAAACAGAAAUAUUUUUGGCUAUUCUCUCCCGGAUUAGGAGUAGAAUAUUUUUGGGUGAUUCCGGAGAUGGAAAUGGGUGGAUAUAUGUGGAUGAUACUUCCGGAGUAGAAGCAGCAUAUGUGAGUGAACGUGCAGGUGAAUCUUGAUUUAACCACAUGACAAGCUCCUAAGGGUCUACACAGCUUGACCACACUCAAUGCUCAUAAGCAGUAAAAAGUAAAUGUGUGGCUCAAAGUCUAGCAAGCAUGUAUAUAUGGCUGUGGUAGGAAUUUAUAUUCUCGUCAUACAGGAACUCAUCAUGUAAUAUUUUAAAGAUUUUAAAAUAUAAAAUUCUCCAGAAUUCUAGCAUCUCUAGGAACAGAUAAACAGCAGCUCAACUGUAAUACCCGAUUUUAAGAACAAAAUCAUAUAUGCACUAUAUGUGAGUCUUAGAAGCCAAAUCUCACAUAUAGCUACAAAUAAGGGGUAAUAUCAAAAGACAAUGCAUAAAUAUAUAAUGUACUUAGUAAAUUAGAGAUAACCUUAAGCAGCAAACAACGGAAGAUAACUCCAACUUCGGAUAUUAACUCCACUCUACAGGAUCCAACUGACUGGUUGAUCACAAGCCUAAACUUCUCCUGAGGUUUAGAAAAAAUAGCAAGAGUGAGUCCAUGUCAAACUCCACAAGUAUAGCAACUAGAUUGUAUAGCUCCCACAAUCUCAUGAUCAAUGUGACAUAAAUAAUGUAAAGCAUUAAACAAUAAAUAAUGAGUAUUUUAACACAAAAGAAUCAUCACCGUCGAUGCAAGAAUCCCCAAGGCCGCUCUUAACCGUGAGCACGACUAGUAUACCAGUUUUUAACACUCUACAGAGGUUGUACAUCUUUACCCAUGAGUCAUGAUUUACCCUUUCGUCCGAGGUGAUCAGCCUCUUAACCCACUUCCAAGGAAGGUUGGCAGGGAUCACUAUGAAGCCUUUCAAAAGUUCAUCUAACAUGUUAGGGCCGUAAGGUUUCCUUCGCGAGCAGAUAUAGAUACCCCCUUCCGAAUGGCACAAUGACGCGCAACCUAUACACAUAGGGACAGGGGCUCGCACUAUACCCCUCCGCCCUUUCGGGUAACCUCUAACAAGCUACAAAAGGUCUUCAUACUGAGCUAAAGCCAGAGCGAAUAUAGCCCUCAUGGUUGCACUAUUGUGCCGGUUAUCACUUACAGAUAAAUCAUCAAGUUACUAAAAAGUCAUUUUUAUCAUUUAUUACUUAACAUUAAUCUAGUCACAGGAUCAUGGUCAC
rnacentral:lncRNA from 1 species